UCUUGCAUUCCACGCCAGUUGAAAACUUAUACUCAUACUAAUCAGAAUAGAACCCAGCUGCCCCAGCCUUACUUGUUACUUUAUAGAGCCCUAAGAAGUCUACCGAUACUUGCUAACCGACUAUUCUCCCCGGGCUUUGAGUCUUAUACCCCAUAGAAGGAAAGUAUUGUUUGUUAGGCUUAGCUUGCCACUCCCUGCUCCAACUCUCAUUAUACUGCCUGGCCUUCCUUAAAUACUACAUCGGAUCUUUGCUUUAUUUGCGACACCUAACGGGCUGACUACCUUUCCUUCCAUUCUACCAGCCCUAGCUUUGGUUCUGCAAUCACUGCAUUCGGAUCUUACUUACUUGGAUUUGAGUCUCGCGCAUUCCCGGCUACCAGCCUAUAUCACCUGGGGCUAUCCACUAGCUCUCUUUCCGUGCUUUCAUUCCCGGACCCCUUGGUUUCAUCCUUUAGCUAUUGAUCCGGAUCUUAGAUUGAGCAUUUCCGCCUACUGGGGAGUCUGACUUUACUGGUGAUUAUUCUUUGACUAUUGACUUGCAUCAUGUAUUGACGGUUAUUUGGUUAUUUAUAGAAUAUUCAUUAGCGGUUGAUUAGGGUCCAAAAACAGCAACUUAUUUCUCUAUUUGGGAAGAAAAAACCAGCUUUUGAAAUGGUAUUUGAGAUGGACCUUCUAUGCCUGUGAGGAUGACCCUGCUAUGAAUAUGCGAUGUACCUUCUAUUACGGGGCCUGGGCCGAUUACACUCGAACCUGCCAGCGAAAGAAAGACUUAUUUAUGCUAAUGGAAGACUUGAUGAAGCUACUAACUUACUGAAUGAGCCAGCAGCUGACGCUGACCUUGCUUUAUUGUGGCCGUUGCCCGUACCUAUUCGAUCUGUUGCCCUGCCCCGAGACCAGUUGCUCGCACCCACCCCCGAAGAGUGUUGUUGUUGUCCGAUGACCGACCCUGCAAUGCAUUAGGGAUGUCGACUGUUGAAUUGAAUGAUCGAGGUACAUUGAUGCCUGGGUACCCUCGUUGAAUGUGCGAUGGAUCCUACCUUCGAUGCACGUCCGAUCCGAUGGACCACGUUGACUGAGUGAAUGGUCGCUAUAAGAACGAGUGGGUGCAUAGUAGCUCUAGGGUGUGUUGUUAUUGGUUCACAAAAGAGUAUGUCUCAGGGAACCGAGCAUCAAAGCCAGAGUAAUAUAGUAGGCCCGCUCCUAUUAGUAGUUGUAGGCCCGGCUCCGAUUAUGUCCUCUAUAAUGCCUAUUCUCCUGUUUCGCCCGAUCGAUGCACGUUGUUGUCGAACAAUGAAUGAGUUAAUGACCGCUCAAAGAAGAAGUUAUGUUAUUUGCAGAAUGAGUUAUGUUAUUUAAAGAGCGAGCGACCCGAGCCAAAGAAUGAGUUUUCCUAAGAAAGACAUCGAUUGUUGUGCCCGUACCUUCGUCCGUGAUCAAUUAACUUAACCACUACUUGGGAAAGCCUGUAAAUAAGCAAGCCUAUUCUUAUCGUUUCAACCAGGAACUGCACCAAGUCUACUUGACCAGUGAUUCUAUCGUAGACAACACUGCGAACUCAACUCACUUAACAAACGUAGCCCCACAGAGUAGUAAGUAUAGAACAGGUUUAAACGUUGCUAGGAUAAAGAACGGUAACUCGACUUGAAACUGCUGAUGGUCUUGAUCCAGCAUCGUCGGAUUCCGGAAUUGACUUUCCUUGCACCCUUAGAUUUCCAGUUCCAAAUGUCAUUGCUGCUUCCUUUCUCACUGCUGAAGAUCCUGACUUUGUUGAUGCUGCAGCUAAUGCGGCUACUAAGCCUCUGCAAGUGCAAGGCUUUCAGCACCUCAAUCAAUUCUUUUCUUUUAGUCACUCUCAAUCAAUUCGGAAGUGAAAGUUCCGCUCCGUUAGCACCCAAGCAAGCACAAGAAAAUAAGCUAACGCGCGUGUUGAAGAUGAGUGCACUACUUUUGUAAUUGAUUAACCUAACAGCCCUUACUACUUUUUGUAAUUGAUUAACCUAACAGCCCUUACUAUACAUAUAAGAAAGCCUUACUAUUACAAGAAAGGAAAGAAUGGAAUAUAAGUUACACCCAUGAUAGAAUUCACUAACAACAUUAGAAACUCCAAAGCUCACGUAAGCUGACGACAAUGAAGACAGGAUUGAAGCCUUUGACUCUACACUCACUUAACUCAACAACGCCCUUGUGCUAACGCUAACGCACCUUGAAACAAUAAUGAUGAUCUCUCUUCUAUAUUCCAAGUUAGAGAAAGGUAGGAAGUAAGUGAGCAAGCAGUAGCAUCGGAUAGACAGUGACCUAGCCCGAAGAUAGUGAUAAUAGCCGGUCAGGGAGUGGUUCCUACGAAUAGGCGCUAUACGUCUUAUCAAUGAAAAGGAAGAUUAGGCAUCUGUUACUUACUUACAUAAAUGAAAAGGAAGAUUAGGCAUCUGUUAAUAGGGACCAUACCAUUCUCUUAGAAAUAGACAAAAGGACGGACUUGCUUGACUUCUAUCUCUUAUGAUUUAGUAUAGGAAGUGGGUAGGUUGCAACUAAGAAAGUCUCUUAUCUAACGUGGACUCUUGCUUAAGCCCACUGAGCUGGUUGUCAAUAAUGCGAGUAGAUCACGGUACCUAUUGUAUAAAUGAAUUACCUCUAUCGUCCGAAUCAAUUAAUUACCGAAUGGGCUCUGUUCUGUACUUGAAUGGUGUUUGAGGGCAACUUACUUCAAUAAAGGAGUGCUUGCUUGGGGGAGUCGCUAUAGUAAUAAGUAGGCAUACAUAGGCUCUGUAUUCGCUUUCGGUGUCGUGUCGGAAAAAGAGAGCAGGGCUUAGGCUUUCCGCAUUUCACUCAAGUACUGCUUCCAUUCCAAACCAGUCAUUUUUGUACUCAGUCCUCCCAAGGUGCUUGUUACACGGGUGUCUACAUGUGUUUCUAAAAGAGUUAUUGCUGCCUCCUUCUCUCUGUCGCUCAGUACCCGCAUGGGAUUCCCUAAUCGUAAUCGUUCCUCGGAGCUCAUCGUCAGCCGUAUCACAGGUUCUAUUAAUCAUUGUAUUAGUCUUAUAGUCUCUCGCGAGUCUCAUAAGGAUCUUGGCCACCACUUGAAUGUUGGCAUCCUUCUUUCUAAGGGCCUUCAUAAGCUUAGUGCGCCUCGGUCUUUUCGUAAGCUCUUUCCUGAAUUGGAUGGUGCGCAGCUGAAUGUUUCUUUCCAUCGUGCGUGGUUCUCUAUUGUUCAAUAUAUAAUGAAGGAGGAUCACACACUUUUCACCUGGGGUCAUCACACACUCUCUGCUCUGAAGGACUGUCUCCGUGCGCAUACUCAGCAUAAUCAAAUGCCUGAUCGCCAUACCUCGCUCGUUGAGAAGCUCCAAAGCCUCGAUUCUUGGGAUCAGGUCUACACGGAUCCUGAGCUGGUGAAGAGCGUGUUUUCGUCCCACACCACUCUUAGGUCUAUCUAUGAGGAUCUCCGCAUUAUCAAGGAACGCGAGCAUUCUUUAUACGCGCGCUUUGUUAGCUACUUCUCUGCUGCCGGUUGGCCCGAGGAAUACAGUAUCGAGUACCUUCCAGAAAAGUGUUUUUUAUUGGAUUGGGGGGUUAUCUGUGAAUCUUCUUUUCGGUCGUCCUAUCAAAACCAAGCAGCUUCUUAUUUACGGUGAGCCCAGUACGCAAAACACUCUAAUUUGAGAACUUUUGAAUGAGGUUCUGCACAUCUACCAUGCCUCGACAAGAAAGAACGAUUUUACCGGCGCGCAUGAUGAUUAUGAUAUAUGGUUAUUCGAUGAAUUCCACUUGGUGGAGGAAAGCGGUGUGAGCUCUGAGGUCGGCCAGUCCUUAAUGGCUUCUAGCAACAACACCCUUCUUCGCGUUCUGGAUGGUCAGCAAUGCCGUUUGGAUAGUCAGUAUAGGCGUGUUUUUACUAAGCAUCGAAACGUCCCUGUCAUAACGAUAACCAACAAUCCCGUUCGUGGUCUUCGUGAGCAAGGCCCCUUCCAUGAAAGGUUUAUGCGUUUGUUCUUCAAAGGCCGUGUUCCUGAGCUUCGUGCGGACCGUUUGAUUGCUACUUUCUGGGGGUGUAUAUAAAGAGAAGAGAUUUGGAUAGGCCAAGUCACUAAGGGCUAAGUAACUACGAGUUACACUAGUUGCAUUCUUUGACUACAACACCCGACUUUAGAACAGAGUUUUCUGGUUCCUUUGCUAUCGCUGUGAGACAAGCCCUAUAAAAAGGUGAUAUAGCAUCUGUGAAGAAAUUCAGAAUUGUUGCCAGUUGCCAUAGGUAUUGUAGCCUGAGUUAGCUGAGCCGGAUAGAUAUAAUAAUAGAAUAUCUAAGAAAUAGAAAUAAUAAUAGAAGAAAUAGAAUACUUACCGCUACCCGUCAGCAGGAUAUAAAGCCAAAGAAAGAAUGCCCGCCCAGCUACUACAGUGCCAAGGUCAGCAGCAGACAAGCAACGUUGCUAGGCCUUUAGACUGAUUAGGCAAACUCUCUCACAUUAGCUGACACUCGCGUUAGGAGCUCAUACGUUAGCCGAUGACUAAAACUUUACUUGUUCCGUUGAACCUUGAUCUGCCUGAAAACUAUACCUGAACCUGCACCGGCAAGGACCUCUACCGCAACUGAAGUCAGGCAAAACCCGAAUAUCCCGGACAUUGGCACGGCUUGCUCUCACCUUUGAACUUCUCCUCGACCACCAUCCUCCAUAUUCUUUAGUUAAGGCGCCUCCUCGACCACCCUCGCAAUUCAUUAGUGAAGGCGCUUGUGCUCAAGCUUCUUAUAGCAUUUCAUUUCCCGAAUAGAGUAUCUCAUAACUUGAACUUAAUAAGAUGAACAGGGUUUCUACUAAAAGACGGAUCGCUACUAACUGCAGGCGUGACGCUAAUGCUUCUUUCGAGUAAGCCACUUCGCAGCACUUCCUUGAUUGACCGAAAGUAAGGCAGUGUCUCUGCUUAGAUUCGCUGGACUCUGUCUGGGUUCGUCUAGCUUUGCAUUGCUUGUGCCGAUUAGUGUAAUUCCCCUCUUUUUCAAGCCCCAUACCAGACUAUAGUCCCCCAACCACAACUCAAUCUUGUCCGCCCCCAACUACCAAAAGACGUAGAGACCCCUUUAUCUCGUCCUUACCGCUCAGUAGGGUUACCUUCACGUCACUUCCUUGAACAUGCUUUAGGAAAUAUCCAAACCAAGUUCCAAUCAGCUUAGCUCGAACACACUCAAAUCAAAACUACACAACAACAAACAAGGAGCUGAAAGCCUUUUUGAUACCACCACUCAAAACACCAAUUCAUUAGCGCCCUAUUCACUUACGCCUCAACAAGAGAAGCUGCAUCCCAUAGGGAAAGAAGGAGUCCGUCCUGUCCUGUCGGCCCUUUUAGAAAGAUAGCUGAAAGAACUCGAGUUAUAAGCUCCAUGAGAAAUGAAGGGUACGGUGUCUUGUAUAUAAAUAGGGUCAUAAUAGAAUCUGAGUUGUUGCGGGUAAUCUUCAAUAACAUUCUGAACUUCAAGUCCCGUUUUCGAGGAGUGCUAUACGUGGUCUCACAGUCCGACCCGCUCUUGCCAGGUUCUCCUCUUUCUUAUGCUUAUGGUUUGAAACCUGCCUCACUUUUCUAUCGCUUGCCCUGCCCUGUCGAAUCGGUUCUAUUCGUGUCUUUAUGGUUCCACCCUAGGAAUCAAGUGCUUAUUCUUUCCGUCCUAAAAGCCAAGCAAGCUACUUAUGCUACUGUUGCUAAAUCCGCCAGUGUUAAACGGGUCAUUCUUUCUGUCAAUUUGAAGCCUUGCCUUAGGUGCAACCGGAAAAGAACGUUCUGAGCUGCAGGCACAUGGAGAUGUGGGUAGAGUCAGUCAAGCAAUCCCUUGCGCUUACGCGAGUGACUUCAUCAUCGGGAGCUACAAAUCAACGCUGCCUACAUCGGUUCACACUGAACGCGAACCAAAUCUAGCACAAGUAUACUAUUUCAAGUAGGUACACAAAAGCCCAACUCACUUUAGGGUCAACGAAAGCAAAACAUUAGGUUGUUCGGUACAACCAUAAACCUCUUCUGAUAGACUAAAUCAUGAAAAGGAAAGUGGAAGCUACUGUAGAAAGCGCUUCAUCCCCCAAAAGUCAUAGGACCAGAGUUGGAGACUAUCUUAUGAAAGCUUACCUUGACGAAAGCCACUGGUCCCUAUAUAUGCCAUGAUCCAUGGGACGGACGGUCCCACUAAGAGAACUAGACGACUAAAACCCACCAGCUCACGUAAGCAAUCUCUGAGUAGUAAUAUCGUCAUCAGUCUUAUUCGCUCUGCGGAACAAAGGGAACGAGCCUAAGUAGCCAAACGAAAGGAGAGUGAGCGGACGGCGAAAACCUAGUUAAGGGCGUGGAGAAGGGGUGUGGUGGGCUUUGGCGCUUGGCACCAAGUUAGUGACACUGUUUUUUAUUGGUCAAUAAGUAUGUUAUUAUUGGAAGGUAUAUUAUUUGUAUAUCUAUCGAUCCUAUUACUGUCUUUUUGUAAACGCAUUAAUGGAAAGUAGCCGGGCCAUAUGAACAGUCAAGGCGAGUUCUUCUUUCUAGUUGAUUGCGCUAAUAGUUUCUCUUUUGAGGCUGUCUUGAUGGGAGCCUAUAGAUAUGCCGUGGAAGACUACCAAUAACCAUUAGUUGUUGCACCUCUUCCUGUGGCAGAUAACCAUAUAGAGAGUUCCAUUGCCAGUGAGGAGCGAUCUAGUGUAAAAGAAUAAUAGGGAGUAUAGCUUAUCCACGAUCUAGUUAAUAGGGAAUGCGCUUAUCCAUAUAGCUUAUAGGAAGUGGUGGCUGGCGUAUUACCUGCCCAACACAGUGAGUGUGCAAUCCUUCUUAUUCAACCCAAGACUUUUUCUGGAAUAUGGCAUCUUACGUAAUAUCAUAUUUCUAGCGAGUUGGAGUGUGCUAAUCCAAGUAAAGCUUAAUCAAUUGAAUUGUUGUGACAGGGAACUGUGGGUCUAGUACCACUGCUACAGUAAGCGAGCCUAUAAUCGGAUGCAGUCCAGGCGAGUUAGUUCUCUGCCAGAGAAUUCUGGGUAAUAUGGGUCCGUAUGCAUUAAGAUGACCAUGCGAGCUAUAUAGAAGUGCAAGUUUAUGCCUUUGAGUCAGUUGUUGGAGUUGGUAUUACUUAUAUUUUCUCUAUUCCUUCCUCUUGCCAAUUCGAGUUGCUGUUAGAGCUGGAGUUUCGAGUCAUGCAGAGCCAGACAGGGAAUAUGGUCCAUAGGCUAAUUGUUUGCAGGCAUUUGAGAGGAGAAUAGAAGUGCACAGAAGCUAGGUGUGGUCGAAGUUGCUUAGCUUUAUUCUGUGAGGGUGCCGGCCGCUGUAUAGGUCUUUUAAGUAUCUUUGGGUGAGUGUUUAGUCUAGGUUCUGUUGCUUGUUGAAUAGAGACACCCCGAGCCGAGUUGCUUGGCCCUUUCUUGGAUUCUUGCUUUAAGUCAGCGAUUUUCGUAGUGAAGCGUAACCUCAUGAAUCUUUCAUUGAAUGGUCCCUUCUCUCGUAAGCUUGUGACAGGAGAAUUAGUGAUGGUUACAACAGUGACAUUGUUCUUUUUGUGUCCCAUCUGUAGGCUUACCUCCCCAAUUAUGAUUGAUUCAUCAUGUUUUUGGUCUUUCUUCUUUAUUAUAUGUUAAUAGUUCAUCGGUCCUUUUCUUUAUAAUGUUAAUUGUGCAUCAUUGUGCAUCUUUCCGCUUUUCAAUCCUUAAGUGCUUGUGUUGUCGGUUCAGAAAGGAUGGUUCCGGUCUUGGCUUGGCGACGAGAAGAAUCAUUAUUGUGCCCCGUACUAGGUAUAAUAGAAUCCGGUAAGUAUUGUUAGGGCAAGAAAGAAGUCAACUAGGUAAAGAAGUAAACGCCGCUAACCUUAGCAAAGGAGUUAGUGUCUGGAGAAGAAGCCUCAGAUCACUGCUAUGGAUGAAUGAAUACCUCCCUGAACCUAAUGGCAGCUCCACGCUAGCUAAGAUAACAGAUAACAAAGAGCAGGUGUUGCGAUAAGUUCAUCAGUGUUGUUGACAAGAGCGGAUGCAGUUGCUUUAAUAAGUGCCAAGUUCAAUUACUGGUGUUGGCGACUCGAGAAUAGCUUGGAAUGCCGGGCGAGGGGAAGAACAUCUUACAGGCUUGCUUUGCGGGCGUAGGAAAGGUGCUAAGAGCCUGGCUUUGAAGCGCUAACGGGAUGAAGUUAGGAUUAACCCGCAAUCGUAGGAAAUAGAAUCAUUUGUCUGAUAUUGAGAUAGAAAAAGUAACUAACCCGCACCUCUUUCUUUUCUCUCAAGUAGUAAUUACCCAUUAAGGGAAUAAACGGAAUCAGAGGAUUUAGCUAGCAGUUUUAGGGGUGCGAAAGUAAGGAUCAGAAUAAGGAUUCUAUUAAGGAUCAGAACCAUAAGCAGGAGAAGUCAAGUUUACAAGAGAAUAAGAAGAUAGGACUAGCUGUGUUGUUAAGGGCGGAAGAUAGGACUAGCUGUGUUGUUAAGGUCAUAAGAUAGUCAGAGUUAAGUUAUUGUAUCUAAGUAAUAGAGAGACGAAGGGUAGUUGCUUGUUGUGUUGAUUCGAUCAAGGCACCGGACAAAGGUAUAUGCUUGGCUCUUCUCUUCUUAUAGGAGAAUGUUUACUCGAAACCUAGACUCCACUCGCACCCCAAGAGUAUAGUAUAGUUCUCUGGAUGCUGAUUCUCUUGGAGAACAGAACCUCGAUACAGUGGAGCUAAUGAUCAAGCCUCUUCUCUUUACACUUCGGAUUCUCUCUUUCUAAGACUAGGAGAGGAAAAAUUAGGACUUUGAAAUAACACGUUAUAAUUGAUUUAUUACUUUGCUAUGUGCCCGGGAGCAAGAGUUAGAUGAGCCAGGUAUAAGUAUAAUAAAAGGAUAGAUCUAGCGGGCCAGAAUACAACACUUGCUAGCGGAAUAUGAAUAGUAAUAGUAUAAGGGUACGAUCUAGCAGAUUUCAUACUGAUUUCUCUUUCUUUUGAAUCUUACAGGUCAGGUUUCCUCUAUGGUUCCAACACCCACCUCUUUUCUUUAUUACUUUCUUAUAUAUAGCCUGGCCCUUGUAUACUCUUAUUCCAUUCUCACUUCUUGUUCAAUCUCUUUACAAGCUUCUACUUUUAGAUAUCUAUAUUCUUCCCCUAACUCGGCUUGGACCACACCACUACUUAGGGCAGGAAACCAAGAUUGAUCAUCGCUCUUUGUUCGGCAACAACAUAACAAGUUAUAACUGGGUAUAACCAAGUCCUUAGUGUGAGGGGCAACUACUCUUAUGGAAAAUGACUUAUCUCAACUCGGAAACAGUCCAACAAAUGCAUUGACGCCGCUAAUCUAUUCUGCCCCGACCUAUACUUGAAGUGAAGAGAGUGCUUCCCCCUAACCAUAGGAUCCUCAUCAUCUUUCAAGACAGAAACUCCUAAAAACAGUAUGAUUUAAGGGACAGCGGUCACGCCUCAUUAUAGCCUAUACUAAGUAAGAGAACUAUGAGUUGGAAUAGUGAGAGUUUAAUAACCUAUGUGCUAAAGGGAGAAUAACCAGUAUCAACUUAGGUAUAAUAAGAACUAACAGCAAGUGGGGGAACUAAUAGGGAAAAGGCGGCAAGGGAAUAAAUUCCUAGUGGAAGUGCUCGUUAAGCCCAGUUUCCCCAGGAGUAGGAAAUGAUGUAGCUUGCCAAGGGCCCUACCAAGUCAAGUUCGGAAGUAAGCUUAGAAAGCCUUAUUAAGAUCAUCAACAGUUCUAAAGUAUUAAUAUGACCAAUUCCAAUCUCCAAGAAUUUCACUCUACAGAACAGGUUAUGACCGAUUCCAAUCUCCAAGAUUUUCACUCUACAGAACAGGUUAUGACCGAUUCCAAUCUCCCUAAAUGAGUCAAAUCCAAAUGAGUCACAGCUAAGGUUUACAGUAGGAAUGAGUUCAAAAGUGCUGUGUUCGGCGCCUAUUUAAGGAGGAGUAAGGGUUCCCACUUCUACGCCUUGAUUACAAUGCAUUUAUAUAGCGGACCUGGGCUUCACUAUCUUGUUCUCUUGCACCAAUCCGGGCUUCACUAUCUUGUUCUCUUGCACCAAUGAUAAGAAUUUGGAAACCAACUGCUUCCCUUAUCGUUCCGUAAACCCAUCCUUUUUGUCCGCGGGUAAAAUCUGCUAAUGGCAAAUUACCUAUAUAGCCACCCCUCGGCUCCUCUAAUUCAUUUCUUCUUAAUCACUUCCACCCUUGCCUUGACUCUUAACUGUCUUCAUCAUUAAUAUCAUCUUUGACUUGCGCAUUAGGAUCCAAGCCAGCUUCCUCUCCUUAUCUUGAUUCUUUCUUAUCUGACACAAAGGGAAAAACUCCAGUCUAAGCGCCUAAUUGAUACGACUUAACUGGAACACCGCUACUUGGGCAUAAAAAAGGAAAAGAAAUAAAUGAGUAAUAACUCGUUGGAACUUGUUAUUACCAGACAAGCGUAUACUAGUGUUUUCCAUCUUAAGCUGUUAAAGCAGAGACUACAGUAAUAGGAGGUACAGCACCAAACAGUUAUUUAGUUAGUAAUUAUAGGAGCUACAGCACCAAACAGUUAUUUAGUUAUUAAUUAGUCCAGAAUUGUAAUAACGUAGUCGCUUUUCGCCUUGGCGCCCAGUGUCUUGUCUGCUUGCCUGGAUUUUCUAGACUCUAAUCUUCUGUUUCUGGAACUCUCCUUGAUACAGAGAGCUUCUUAUUCUGCUGAUGAUCUACUACAGUUUAUACAGUAUGAAGUAAACUAGCCAGCCCCCGCCAUAACUCGCUAACACGUUAGCACCAAUGGCUUUCGAAACCACUCACAAUGGCUUUUGCCAAUACGGAAAUGGAUUUGGAGCACAUCGCAUAUAAUCUCUAGGAAUGUACAAAUACCUAGCAGUGUAUUUCUUUACAAGCUUCUAUAUCAUGUAUGCCAGUUCAACCCUUUUCUGACUUCUUUUCUUUGACUACACGCUUCAUAAAUGAGAUAUUAGGAUGCGCAUAUUCCCCAACUCGCUUGUUUUGAGUUCACCGUUACGCAUUAGCUUACCUUACUUGACUUGUGCGUUGAGUAAGCAGUGUCUGUUUAUUGACUUAUAGUGUCUGUUUACUUACUUAUGGAAUUCAAGUAAGUGGGACAUAACAGAAAGAUGGGAGUUAACUAAAUCAAUAAAGGAAUUGAGUGCAGACAGAACGGGUCACUAUGGGGCUCGCUAACGUAUAAGGGGGCUUUUCCUCUUUAAGUGAGAAUUUUGAGGCAAGGCACAUUGUCAUCAUAUGUAUAAGUGCUAAGUGGUUCAAGCAUAAAAGUUCAGUCAGGUCGGGCAAGACUAAGUUCAGAGAGGUUUGGUGCGAAUGCCGGUUUCAGACGCAAGGAAGAGUCUAAAGUAAGCAGCAAUUGGUUCUGCAAAUGAAGUAAGUGGAGUUUGGGCCUUCUGAAGCGGUAAGUCAACCAGCAACAGAAUCAGCUGGCUAAGGAUUCUCAGUUGUUCGAUAAUCUGGAGUCAGAGGAAAGUAUCUCGGUGUUGUCGACGAAGCUGGAAGGUUCUGAACGGAAUCCCAAGUCGGGUCAAUAACAGCUUCUCCUUUUAGCAAUGCUAUUCUUUAGAGUCAAUCAGUGGAGUAAGUAAUAGGAGUCAGGGUUGGUGACACUGUUCUAUAAAGUAGUGCAUAUGAUUUAGAGCCAGCUGUAGAUUAAUGCCUUAGUUGAAAAGUCCGGAUAGUCAGUUGCAAAGAAAGUAGACUUAAGGGGAAGAAUCCAUUCCUUCUUGCGCCACGCCUAAGCUUGUUCUGCCCGUACGUAACUUAACCGUGCGCAUUAUGUUGUUAAGUUAGACAGAAACGGAGAUCUUAGCUUUAGCCCUUUUUGCGUGUUUUAAGCCAUGGGAAACUAUUCUUUAGUAAAUUGACCUAUAUUGUCCACUGACAGCUGCUCUAAUGCCCUUUUCGGGAACAAAACAACUACUGCCGCGUCUGUGAGCCUUUCCUACUCCAGUUCCAUUUCCUGUUCUUGUUUUCUCCUAUAUCAAGAAUGGGCCCAGCCACUACACCGCCGACAAGCGACUACUAAGACUCAUAUGCUCCGGGAUCAGCAGAGAAUAAACCACCAGCGUUAGUCCGAGUUAUGUACAAGUCCUGUGCCAUCUGACCAAGUAUCAAAUAUAGGGUUACUGCUUGACCGAGCUAGCUUAUCGAGUUUGGCCGCUAUAUAACUCUAUAUUCUUGAUUCUAGUUUUAGGAGUGCUGGUGCUUAUUGGAGUUUCAAGAAAGAGUCGGAAUGGCCCCGGCGGGAGAGUUCCAAAAGUGGUGUAGCGAGGAUAAAGGAAAGGAGUUGUCCACUUGUUCUGUUCGCCCAGUUCAAGCGUAUCGGUAAGGUCGAGUAACUUCUGUAUUCUUGUUCUGUGCAUUAAGAAGCCGAAUCUCCUCUCGAAUCUGCAGGAGCCGAGUUCUAGCGUAAGUGAGCGGGUACUCACGUGUGCGCCCUUGCUUGUUCCUAAGCACCUUUCUUAAUAGUUGCUCGUUCUGUCCUUCUAAUGCAUUGACGCCUAGAAAGAUAGCCCAGAGCAGAGAGUCAUACUGAGAUUAAGAGGGCACAUUAGUGAGUUCUUUCGCACUUAGGAACGUUGCUUGUUCUUACGCUCGCAACAAAAAGAUUCAUUCCUUAGGUGAUAAAACAUUCGAAAUUGGAGAUCUUUCUUCUGAAACCAACACACUUUUGAUUGUGGAUGUAUCUUCCCAAUAGAAGAGGAGUGAUGGAGAAAGUUGGAAAAUGGAAUGGAUUCAGAAAAUGAUGUUACUGCAGGGAUCGGGAUUCAGAAUCCUCCUAUUAUAUGAAUUCCACUGGUUUAUACUAUGAACUGUACUAUUAUAUGAUAUGAAACAGGGUUGUACUAUGAACAUAUGAGUGUAUAACCUUACUAAUAUGACUUAGAUCACUUAUAUCACUAAUAUGACUUAGAUCACUUAUAUCGGGGCAUCUCCAUUUAUUGAUUGACAACCCGCUUCUAUAGCAAUAGGUACCAGAGUGUUUCUAUACAUACUGAAUCAUUAGCCUUCACCAUGCUCUCCUAACAUUGAUAUGGUCCACUACGAAUAGAACUCAACAUAGAGACAAAACACUUAGAGAUAAAGGAUAGGCACCCUUUUGAGAGAGAAGAGAAGCACCCAUUAUUAUACUUACGGGAUUCUUGACCCGACUUCAACAACUUAGAAUCAUACAUUUCAUAUAGGCACCAACAUAGUCGUUUGUGUGAGAAUGAGAAUAUGGGCAUCAACAUAGUCGUGUGAGUGAUUAGUCACUUCUGCCUGCUUGAACUCUAGCAGACCAUCAUCGUAGACUGGAUAGACUGACCUUUCCUACCGAUAGCAAUAGGCACCCAAAGAAACACUACCGAUAGCAAUAGGCACCCAAAGAAACUCUACUUCUGAUCUUAUAUAGGCGCACCCCUAUGAACAUCCAUACAAUAUUAAUUCCUUCCCCCACAAGAGAAUCACCUACUUCAAGACUAGCACCCGAAACUAUCACUGCAGAUUAACCUUCAUCAGAUCCUGAUCCCUAUGAUUAUAGAGUUCCCUAUGAUUAUAGAGUUCCCGCUGAUUCUAUUGUUCCCUAUUCUAUCUUUUAAUGCGUUUUUGCAGUAAGGAAAGGAAACCAUAUUCUUUAAUGAAACUGUAAGUAUUCCUCACCUUAACCCCUUCUCCCAUAGACAACACAGGGACUGAAGUGGACUAAUAUUCUUAUGCUUACUCACCUGCACGGAAACAGGGCUUAAACAACCAGAAAAGGGGGUUUCUUUACCUUGUAGUGGAACGGAACUAAUUAACAUACCGGAAGGAAAGAGAACGGAUUGUCCUGCUUACGCUCCUUCCCUUGAAGUAUAGAGAGGGAUAGGUUCUGCAUAAGUAUAGAGAGGUUCUGCAUCGGUGUUGUGUCAUAUCAAGUCAAGCGGGAAAGAAGGAUGGGUAUCGAGCAAGUUCCAAAUCGGAAGCCAUGGAUCCGGUUCUUGUAUAGAAGGUGUAUUGGUUCAUCUUACAAAUUGAUUAUAUACUUGGCGUUCAAUUCAUUCUUUGUUCGGGUAAGGUUAAGAAAGAAAGUAAGCUGUAAAUUCAGUGGAGUUUUGGGAAGAAUAUCUGACUUAUUAAUUAAGCGAUAAAUCAAUCAGUAUCCGGGUCCUAGGAAAGUCGUUUAUUCCAUUAUUGGCUUUCCCGGCGUAAGCUGCAAGCGGUUUAGAACGGAAGAGGUAGAGCGAGCAAGAACAAGAAGAAAGUACUGGCUUAGCAGUGCUGGGAAGAAGAAUCAAGUCAGUAAGAAAACUAGGAGAGGCCAAAGUCCGGGUAUCAAGCCAGGGCAAAGUGCAAGUAGUAGAGAUCAGAUGCGUGGUCAUCUUAAUAAGAGGAUGGAGCUCUGUAUAAUGGAUAGGGGUAACCAACAACCUAGCCUCUUGACUCUUAAUACAUAAUUGAACUACAGGCGCUGAAGCUAAUGCGGUGGGUGCGUUUGUUGUCGAUUCUUCAAGUUUAGUUGAGUUCGCCAAUUGUUUAAGUGUUGUAUAGAAUAACGGGAGGUAAUAAGAAAUACUUAGAGGUGUGUGUUGAUAGCUCUGCGCUCGCAAGUCCUGUUGUUUUGGGGAUCAUCAGUUGAAGCAAAGGUAGAGGUCGGAAGCAAGACAAGAUCAAUUCCAGGUUGGUUGCGGUAGGAGCAGCUUGAUUCUAUAUUCUUAUUACGAGAUAUGUCAGUUAGAGAGAUUCCCAUUAAUGAUUUGACUGUAAUCAGAUUUUCCGCUUCCGCUUUUGUGCUAAGAUAUGAUCCUGUUUAUGUUUGCCUUUCAUCUGUGUUUGUUGGCGACGCGUUCUGUUUCUUUACUAACUUCUUUAUAUGCCCCAUGUGCAAGGGGAGAGAGAACAUAUUCCAUUAUGACUUUCUUGUUUCAGUUGCUUGUCGGACUGAUGGGUUUUACCUUAGUUGUCGUGGGGAAUGUCUGGUUUGAGUUUUCUCGUGAAGAGAAUAAGAUCAGACUGAAUGCGAAACUGCUAAAGUCAAGUCUAAAGAAGCAGUUAGAAAGGCAAUUGACCGUUCCAAAUACAUAUAUAUAGAAGCACAGUCACUGGUCACCUCAACCUCAAAGCUUACCCACUUAUGGAAUGAAAGUCAGCGGCAAAGAAAGAUGGGUUGACAGUCCCGAACCCGAGUUCACUAACGCAUGAGGGCAAAUAGCCUACGAAAGUCCUGAAGGAAAGGAAGCAUUAAGGGAAGUGUCAUGUUACUCUUGAAGGAAAGGAAGCAUUAAGGGAAGUGUCAUGUUACUCUUAUAUAGAAGAUGUUAACUCAAUAAUGGAAAAUCAGCAAGCUAGAAGAUGUUAACUCAAUAAUGGAAAAUCAGCAAGCAACUCGGGGUGCUGUGCCUCAAGCUUCAUUAAUGGGGCCAAAAGUAGAAAGUCUGCACCUAACUAACAAUAUAGAAAGAGGUGAUUUGGAGUUGAAAAGCAACAAGGCAUAUACUCACUCAAUUAAGUACUUAGUGCACCCAUCCCAUAAUCUAUACAGUAUGAUUUCGUUCCGGAUAUCCGAACUACCUUAACGGAGACCCGAGCCUAACACCUUCAUUAUUGCCUUCUGCAACAACAUAAAUGGCGCGGUCUACUUCAUAAGCCCGAGAAGGAUCCGUUCAAUACAAUAGUCAGAGCGCAAAGUGUACCAAAGAAUCAGCAAUUUCCGUUCUCGUCGACUCUCAAUCUGGAUCCGGGUUUACAUACAGCCUUUCAAGAGUGGUGUAUGGUAAGACCUCUGGCUUUCUUUCACUGUUGCAUGAUCCUGUAGACUGUCUCCGCGUCUUUGAUGGCCCUGCCCUUUUCGUGAAAAUAUGAAAGGGGUGAGUAAAGUAAGCAGUCAGCUGUUAGAGUUAGGCUAGGUAGAGCAGAGCCAGCAGUUACAGUUAUAGGUAGAGCAGCAUCAGAGGAGCGCCCCUGUUCCUUGAGACUUCCCUCAGACAGGAGUACCGAACAAGCAACUACGAAGGGAUUGAUUAGUUCCACUAAGGGUGCCUCCAUCUCAUCUAACUCUUUCUCAUAGAACUCUGGCUGCUGAACUCACUACUACAGUUACUUGCCUCUCCUUGCCUUUCUUUAUAGUAGUCUUUCUUUUGAGUAGUUUCAUUGCCUAUUUCCACGCCACGCCCCUCAUAUGUGAAUUAUACUUCUAAGGAAACUCAGUAAGGCAAUUCAGUUAUAAGUAAUUAUUAGAAGCUAUAAGUAAGGCAAUAAAGGUAUCCAAUCCGCCUCUACUUGAUUGAUUUCUUGCCAUGUAGAUAAGUCUAUAACUAGUCACUUUAUCCCCUUACUUGUCUAUAACUAGUCACUUUAUCCCCUUACUAUAAGUCAUUAUAUAAGAGAGUUUCAGUAGAUAUGGAAGCAGUUAGGUCAGAAGGAGAGGCCAGGCCAAUAGUGGAUGACACCGAUUGCAUUGCCAGGGUGAGCAGAACACUACACUUGUUCAUAACGAAGUAACAAACAGGGGAUGGGAUGGGUUCACUCAAAGGGUUCUUUAUUACUACAAUUGUUGCUUGGCCCCUUAACAUCAAGUAAGCCUUUCACUCUAGGUAGUAGGAAUCUCUUGGGGGGCGAGUAACGUCUAGGAGUAAACGAUGAGUUCUUUCCUCUUUACCUAAACUCCGAUACAUCUAGUUUCACCGAAGAGUUGUUGCAAGAAGAAUCAUCUAGUCUAGUUAAACUGUUUCUCGGGGGCUCUAUUAAGUAUAUAGUAGAAUAGUCCAAUUAAGUAUAUAGUAGAAUAGUAAGAAGCAGACAAGUAACUACUAAACAAGCCAAGCUUAGUAUACUGUUGCGCGUUAGUCUAGUGGUGUUCAUGGCGUUAGUAUGAGUUCCUUAUUUCAGCUAACGCUUACUUUCCGCUUUCCUGGGUAGGUGCCUGUGCCUCAAUCCAAUUCCGGUUCUUUCAGAGAUAGAGUGCUUCUUUUUCUUUCGCCGUAGUUACUUGUAUGUCCGCUUGUUGGCUUGGCUCUGAGCAUUCCGCUUCUGUUCCAACCCCUUUUCCUUACUAUACAACUGAUAUGGCUUCCUCACCUGCAUCUAAUCCUACUGUUGAUCUUAAUCCAGCUUUUUUCAAGCAUAUGAUCCUUCUUCCCUUACUGGUUCAUAAGAUCUUCUUGCAGUCUUUUCAUUUCUGGAAUCUAUCGCAGUCAACUCGUAUACUUCUUACUGCCCGUAGGUAUAGCCGGUAUAGAAUUAAGUAGAUAACACUUAACGCCAAGUUACAGGAGUAGUGAGUAAAUCCCCUUUCUUGUAUUUCUGCCCACUGCAGCAUUCAUGUGUUAGGGUCCACCUUUUCCAUAAGCUUCCUCUAACCCACUACUUUCUGAUUCCUCGACUUCCACUUAGGCUCUGUGAACUCAGGCAACUAGAACAAUGGCUACAAUAUCUCUCCUCCGGCUCCACAAACACAUAGCAAGUAGUGAGUGACUUGUCCAUUAGUCGUAGAUUUUCUCUCUUUCCCUUCCUUACUCUCCCUUUGCAGCUUACUUUCGCCCGAGAGACUCUCUUCUUUGAAUGGAAUCUUUCGUUUCUUUUACACUUGGUAUAGAACCCAUGUAAAGAUACUGAACUAGUUUCGUUUUCGCGAUAGUGAGUUUCAAGUCCUGUUUGAAAGUCAACGAUAUCAGAUCUGUUUUCUCAUGCUACAGGCGCAAGAAAUAUGAUAAGUUGGUCAGCUGUCCUAAGUGAUAGAGUAGAAUCCCUAGUGAAACCCUUACGUCUACUCUUAUUGCCAGCUUUCCAGUACUUUAUCGAGUGGCUUCUUCGGGAGCUCACACUGCCGAAGAUCUUUCUUUAGAUCCCAAUCCAGCUUCAGCUUCAGAUAUCAUAGACUAUAAAGGUAAAGCGCCAACAACAAGAACGGAUUCCACUGAUUGUCUUGCCCAAACUCCUGCCGCUUCAACUGUGUUCGUUGAUUCUGACUUUCAUUAUAGAUAUAGAGUUGUAAAGAACCAGGUUCACCCGUAUGGAGCAGAGCCUCUUUGUCUAGUCCCACUUAGAGCGACAGCUGCAGUCGUAAGAAAGCAACAAGGAGCUUUACUACCUUUUCAAUUGUAGGUGGGAGGUCUUUUAAAGACGGUUAAAGAGAGUUCUUGUUCACGUAAGUGAGAGCACUGCCCGAUACUGCUUGCUCGGUCCUCUAACUAAAUCAAUGGUAUAUAAAUAGAUGCGCGGAACUUACUAAAUUCCCUUAGAGUCUGGUCUUCACUAGAUAGUGGCAACCCUCGUUCCUUUGUCCAAAGUCAAGAUAGGGAUCGUCACUAGGCUCCUUUGCAGAAUUCAGGCCUAGCCAUUAACAGAGAAGCUAUGGGAACAAUGGAAUCCGUGACUGUAAAACACAGGAAUUGUUAGAACGGCCAAGAACUACUAAACGCCAGACAAGCACCCCUUUACUUUAAUGCACAGCUCAUUCUGCACUUUUAGUAGAGUAUCCUUUCCUCACACUCGAACGUAACUUGCAGGCCCUAUACUAGAAUUUCCUAGACUCAACUCUCACUCGAAUAGGAACAGUAACAGUAGUCGGAGUGGGAUUAGCUACACUGCCGCGCACGAACAACUAUUCGGAGCUUACACUUUUUCCGUCAUGGCGGUUGCGAGCGGAAGAGGUUGGUUAAGAGCCCUUGGUUAGCUGGACUGGAUUAGUUACCCUUAUAGAAGAAGGUAGAUAAUCAUUAGCGGUAUCUUCUCUGUCAAACUUCAGAAUUGAGUAGUCUCAUUAGCUGUAGUAGUAUAAUUAUAGGUUGUCGUUUAAUUAGCAGUUUUCGUUUCAUUUCAUUAAGUAUUCCGUUUUCCACCUUAGAACUAGUAAUUGCCUGUUUCUCUGCAGAGUAGCAAUAAGUAAACUCAUACGUAUUGAAUUGUCCCCCUCUCCUACCCGGGAUAACUAGUAGCUUGCUCGAUUCUCUCAUUUCACGCUUUCAUUCCCUUAUUACUGACUAAGUGCGAUCCUCUUUCUUGUUUUAGGUACGAGGCCUUUGUAGCACUAGUGGAUUUCUUAUCAAUGGAAGGAACGAUACAGAGAAGAAAACCCAGGAAGGACGUACUUAGUUACAGGAAAGGCGGGCUUAUCAAGCAUAGUCUCAAUGCUACUAGUUAGUAGUUACAUUCUGUAGUAAGUAAUUAGAUUCUUGUUCGCAGUGGUGCAAUUACAGUUGUUGCCCCAAAGUAUCAGUCUCAUAGGUUGUAGUCGCAUCCUUAUCCUUGUUGUUAGUAGUUGUAGUCUUAAGUAGCUAUAUAAGAAGCGGGCAAUUGAAACAGAGACCCCAGCUACAGAGCAUCAAUCUGAGUACCAAUACCCAGCAUCAGCCUUACUAGCUACCCCAUCAACCAAUACUAGCUACCACCGGUUUCAUUCUCAAACUACUGAGGGAAAUUCUGUAAUAAAAGUGUCUAGCGCCCCACCCAAGGGUUGGAGUCUUAGAGUUAGUAGCUGCAUUCUAAGUGGUACUGAUUUGGUUCUUGGAUUCAUUGGUAUCAGUCUCAGUGGUACUUGCUUGGCCCUGUCACUUAUGGGUUGAAGCCUGCUCGGGGUUAGUUGCAUUCUGAGUACUAUAUGAGGAGUUCAGGUCAUAGGUCUAAUUCUUAUCUUAGUCAUACCGGAUUUAUGGUCAUAGAUAGGGAAUAGGGAAGAUGCGGCUUUCUGGUCAUAGGUCUAAUUCUUAUCUUAGUCAUACCGGACUUCUGGUCAUAGGCAUUUAAUAGGUCAUAUGCGGCUUUCUGGUCAUAUCCCUUACUCAGUCUAUCAAUCGGCUUUCUGGUCAUAGGUGUUAAUAUAGGUAUACCUCGGCUUUCAAGUCAUAGGGAAGGUAGGACUUCUGGUCAUAGGUCUAAUUCUCUGACUCACUUGUUUCAGGCUUACACUCGCUUGUUUCAAUCUAAGUAGCCCCAGCACCAGCCUUAGAUGCACAGGUGAAAGUCCCAGUGGUACAGGUUUCAGCCUAUCACUCCUUAGCCUCAUUCUCGGUGGUAUUGGUUGAAGCCUCUAACUGCCCAACAUCAGCCUUGGUAGCAGUGAGGGGAGCCUUACACCGACUAGCUCCACUCUCAUACUGACUGGUUGAAGCCUGUUUCUCACUUGUUUCGGUCCGGUAGUUAGGUGUUUCAGGCUUGUUGUGCACUCUUUCAUUCUAGCUACCCUUGCUUUAAGUCUGGGCUUCCGAGACCCUGUAUCAGGCUUUGACUCACUAGUUUCGUUCUUGGACUUAUGGGUUUGAGUCUGAGUCUAUUUAGUUGGAUUCUGUAACCCUAGGAGUCGUUGCUUGGCCCUCUUGCUUAGCUCUCCAGGUAGCGAAGGCAGUUACUGAUUCCAGUUUCUCGUAAGGGCAGGCUCAUGGCGAUAGGUUAUUCUAGUUGGAGUCUAUAUAAGCUCUAGGUCUAAGUAUACUGAAUGAGUCUGGUAAAGUUCCUGUGGCUAGCGGGGAAGCAGUUUACUAUAUUAAUAAGGUCUAGUGUAAAACAAUACUCUAUUAAUAAGGUCUAGUGGAAAACAAGGUGAAAGUAGAUUCCGUAAAAGCUAACAACCAUUUGAAAGCCCGGCCAAGCGGGCAAGCAACUCACUGUUACCUUGCAUUCAAUAGCUGCUCCUUCUGUCCUCACUGUGUCCCUUUAACGUGCACGUGGAUAUCUAUAACUAUGGAUCGGACUGGAAGCUGGCUUAAUUCCUAUCGCAAGAGCGAGUCAGGAUCCAAGGCAAGGUGACGAAGGUAAUAGGGAAAGUGCGUCGACCGCGCCAUCUAGCGAGAUCAAAGGACUUAUCUUCUUUUUUCCCAUGGUCAACAAUCGGCUUCACUCGUUGAUUGCCACAGAUAAGCUUGGACUAUGCAUAUGGAAAACCUGAUGACAUAGAGACGUGGAAUACCUUCCAAAUCCAAGACAAGAGCCUUACUUCCUUUAGUUCAAACAAGGGAUGCAAGCAAAGCAAGGUGCUAAGAGCUCCCUCGCACUCGAUAAGAAGAAUGGUAUAUAGCCUUUCCAACCAAUUACCGUGUGUUGUGACAUCAAUACCAUAAGCCCUUAUUUUUGGUUCAGAAGUUCCUUUACAUACUAGGAAUCGCGUCUCUAAAGUUAGAUGAGAAGGAUUAGAUAUUUGGCAUUGCCUUCCCUUACUUACUAAUGGUAAAUCAAUCAGUCAAACCUUUUCUUAUUCACGUAGCGCGCCUUUCUAGUUGCCUAUUCUUUGUGCGUGGGUGGGGAUAUCUUCUACUAUUGAUUAACUUGCCCUCUCGUAAAUAAGGGGGAAGGAAACUAGCCAUACUGCCGAAAAGAAGUCCCUCCCGAACAGCCGGAUUCGGAUUAGUUCAAAUCUAACUAGCUAGAUUCUCUUGCUCUAGGCCUAUUCUUUGACUUUUCCUAUUCCCUGCUCUACUUAAUGUGCGAGGAGGAAUAGAGAUCGACAAGCAAGAGUAAGGCCUCUUUCUUUCCUUAUUAGCUAAUAGUGCCUAACUUUCCUUCGGGCAUCUUUAUCAGACAAGAAAUAAGAUCAAAUAGAAUCCGAUUUUGGACAUUAAAGAGUCGUAAAGCAUCGAAGCAAAUAGCUCUUAAAAGGAUACCUAUCGAAUAGGCUUUGGCACGUCGAGGAAGAGAAUAAGCUCUUUGAUACUGCGCUAGCAGAGUAAAGGGACGGAUAGACAGCUUACUUAACCUUGAUGAAAUGAGUCGAGGGGGCUGACUCAAGCUAGUGAAAAAUGCCUCUUACGAAAGCCUUCUUUCUAUGCCUGUGCCCCAAAAUUGGGCUAGGUAAGAAAAAGGGUAAACACUAGUAGCUGCGAGCCUAAGAUCAAAGCAAGUUCCAUCGUGCCGAUUACCUUGGCUUCUGUAUCAUGAUACAUAGAAGAAGCACUCUUGACUCUUGUCGCGAGUCGACCGUUCAGAGCUUAGAACAAAAGAAAGAAGAUAACCCUUCUGUCGGCUUAUUCAAACCGAUUAUUGGAAAUAAGAGCAACCCACUAAAAUCAGGUAUUCUUUAGAUAAUAUAAUGAACUAUUCCCUUAUUAACUUGCUAACUACCUAUAACGCGAAUAUAAGGAAGUCAGCUGCUUCGAUUCCCUCUCUUGCAAGUGUUCCAGUCCUAAACAUAUACAUAAUAGCUAAUUAUUUCCUACAGUUAAAGAUUCUAACAACCUGCUAUAGACUGUUUUGAUCUUAUAAAGAACGGAGCGGAGAGGAAAGAGAGAGAGAUCGCUAUUAUUCACUGGUUAUAGCUUUACCUACGGAAAGUUGAGCUACGAAGAUCCGCUGGUCGUAGAAGAGGAAACCCUCCAAAGUGAGGCCGAGGACGACAACUAAAAGGACCUGCCAUUGAAAGCAAUUGAAAGCUGCUGCAAGCUAAAGCAACUCCCACUUCUUCAUAGUCCAUUCUACCCGUAUGGAUCUGGAUCGGUAUCAAUUCCAAAGGAUGUCCUAACUUGUCGCUGCCAGUAAUUUCAUAAUGUAAGUGCGCCUAUACGUAAGCCGGAUCCCAGGCUCCAGGGCCCAUCUCUGUCAUAUUGGCAAGCCAAAGAAGAUAGAAAGCCUGCUUCACCUUUACUUCCUUCCGUACCGGAUUCAGAGUCUGCUCUAAAAGAAGCCAGUGAGUCGAUGUCUUAUGGAGUUCAAUCAGUAUCGGGUCAUUCAAAGGUUUCAGCUCUGGUUCCAAUUGUAUCUGUGGUAUAUCUCUUCUCUCUUGUUCCCUUUCCGGGGAUAAGAGAUCCUGUUCUUUCCCUUUCCUUGCUACUAUCCGAACUUUACUACUAGUUUCAGAAGAUAGUCAACCAGUUUUUCAGGCAAGGAGCGCUUCCUCUAUAGAAUAUGGCAGAUGUCCGAACGGAUUUCCCCAAUAGCGGAGCAGCUAAAGGAAGUGCAUUCAUUCUUUUCCAAGUGUGGGGCAGGAGUAGGUUUCAUCAAUCUGAAUAGACAUAGAAUUCCCAAUAUGGUCUUUGGCUGUUUUAUCAUCUCUAGAAUCAGCAGUUCUCGAAUAAGCUGUGGGACAAAGCAAAUGCCUUUUUGUUCACAGCAGACUUAGCAGACGAUUAUCGGCAGUAUGGUCAGGCUUUGAUUACAGGAUUUCCGGAUUGACCGCUUCUUCCCUUCCAGUUGAUUGGGAAUAAAGGCUGCUUGGAUCUUUGCACGAAUAAACGGAGAGUCAAAGGAACUCGCCCCUGUGUGAUAGAAUUGUUUUAAGGAAUGGAAUCAGAAGCAUUGAAUGCGGCUAGGCUAGGGCACCUUAUUUGAUGAAUAAAGGUAGGGUAGUUCAGUUGUCAACAAGGGAAUAGGUAUGCGGUACAAUAAGUAAGGCUCGGGCUUCUGCUUUUUCUUCUUAUUAAUAGGUGUGUAGGAUUCCCUUUUUCUUGUUUGAAUUCCCAGUUGUUAGUUUAAGUAUUGGUAGCAGUUAUAUAGGCUUGUUAUCAUUAUGAAUCUGAUACUACUAAGUGAAACCCGUGUAACGAGGUGAGGUGGUCUUUCUAGUGUUUAUUUCGUCCCUUACGCCUUAGUCCGAUUCUUUGACUAAAAAGUAGACUUCUUGGCAGGGAUGUACUAACCUUAGAGUUGAUAUACGCAUAUACCUGCAGUUCGAAUACUUAUCUUAUGAAAUUCCCCUGAGUUAGCUUAUGAACCACACCUCCACUUCAAUAACAAUAACACAUAGAAUCAAGAAUGAACUCAACGUUCAAGUAGUCGAAGUCACUAACAAACAAGCAAGACUAAAACAAGUAAAGGCAGGCUCAUAUCAUAGGCAGUAAAGCCAGGGUUGGUAUAGUUUGGUAGUUCGGAGGAGCAGACUAAUGGUAAUAGGCAAUAAGGCUGGGGGAACUAAGGAGUAGAGUUUGGAAAGUGAAGACAGGGUUUAGAGCAAGUAGUUUCAGAGUCAAAGGAAGGAAAGACAGACUUAGAAUUGAUUCGGGGAUUCCAUUUAUCGCUUAUAUUAUGAGAAUGAGAAUUAGGUUAGGCGCGUACUUUAACUAACCAAAGGCAGUGUUAAAACAUGUACAGUAAGGGCUGUUUAGGUGCCAGUAAAGUCAGAAUAAGAUGAGUAACUACCAGAUUUAGGACGAGGGGACAGUCAAGCAGGAAUACAAGAAAGUAAUGUAAGGCUAUUAGACACCAUUGAGUUUGAAAGCAAAGGUAGUUAGGGCUUAUAGCUAUAAGUUAUAUUCUAUCAGGUAGUGGUUGAUUCCCAGUUCAUGAGGUAAGUCUCGUAUUAGCGGUGAUUUCAUUCUCGUAGGUAGCAUCCCACUUUUGAGGUUUCUUCUCUUUAUUGAGUAUUGAUAUCAUUAAUAGGGUAGCUCAAUGUAAUCGACCCUUGUUUCCCUUUUCAAUCCUGCUCGGCAGUAGUCAAUUCCUCGUUAUGAGGUUGGUUGCCAGUUAGCCGCUAUAGUCUUAUCGGUACAGGUUCAAUUACUUAUUCUGGGUUGGGUUUAUUGGAAGCACUAGUUCAUUUAUUCGAUAUAGUAGUAUAAUUCCCAUAUAGGUGGGGACCGGUCUAAUCUAAUGGGGUAGUUCUAGUGCUUGAGAGCAAGGAAAGUCGGACUAAGGUCUCCAAAGGCAAGAGCAAGGCUUGAACAUAGGCAUAGAUAAUAAGGCUUGGCUACUACCUGCUGGCUUAGCACCUAUAGGCAUUGAGCUCAGUGAUAUAGGUUUUCGAAAAAAGUAACCGGUUGAAAGCAAGCAAUAGGAAACUAGUAGUGACUUGCCUGCUUGGCGAAUCAAACUCAUAAGCAAAAGAAGAAAAUAGGACCCCAGUUGAUAAGAAUUCCAUUCAUAAGUAGCCGACCCGGGCCCAGCAGUAAAAGAAAUUCACACCAGCAGCCAAGGCUUUCAGCACCUUACUUGAAAACUUCUACUCUUUUCUGUUAGUCUUAUUUUACUGCCUUAUAGGUUAUAACUUGUAGCGCAUUCUAGUACGCUUAUCGGGAGUAGCCCCGGUAAGUCCAUGUAGUAACUAUUAGAAUCAAAACCAGAGAUGUGGAAUCAAAUAAGUAAGUCAAAGGCAGGUAAGGAUACCCGAGCUAUGUACUCCCUGGAAUGUAGAGUAGUGGUAUGACACUUAAAGGAAUGCGAACUCAAAAGUGAUAUUUGCACUAAGAGGGGGCAACUCAUAGGCUUGCUCAGAAGACUCAGAAGGGAGGUGAUAUGAUCUAGGGCCCAUCAUAAUAGACUAACAGGGCAGUACACAACAAUGAAACCACUUACUUAUAGAUAGAAUCGAACCUUCCCCAGGCCCACAAGAGGCAAACCCUUACCCGGACCAUACAAUAAUGAAAGUGACAAAGUAGGGAUCCAACCACUGCUAGCAAUAAUGCAACUAGUAAUAUCAGAGGCUUCAGCAAUAACCACACAGUAAUAAAGGUCUGGCACUACUUACCUCAAUUCUGUAAUUAACCCUAGCGCAUCUAGUAUAAUAGGGUAUCUGGCCUUUGAUUCUUUAAUGACGAGCUCUAGUUCUAAGAAGACCCUCUGUUUAUGCGUGUGUAAGUUAGUGGACUGCGCGUCUAAUCCAACGCCAAUUAUGAGUAUCAGAGCCAAAUCCAGUAGAAGUCGUCUUAGCCCUAAGGUCCUAUUCCUUAUUGACUUUCUUGCUUGUUAUUCUUUGAUUGGUGUUAUUCAGCAGUUCCAUUCUUUCCAUAGUGGGCGGAUUCCCAGCUAGCGGUUAAGUUUUCUCGGUAGUAUUGAGAUUAACUUGGCAUUGCAUAAGUCUUUAUUCCGUGCUCAACCCUUAUUAGCAGUAGGGCUGUUCUAAUAUAUCUUGCUUUACCUAUAAAGAGAUUAGUGCCAAAUUCACUAUAUACCAUAACUUACUUAGUCAUAUUUAGGUGAAGUAGUACCAGGUUGAGAUGAAGGAUAGUAGGAAUCAUAUUCAGUAGAAGGAUCCGUAUCAGUGUAGAGUAGUUAAGUGAGGAAUGCGGGCGUUGGGGAAUACAUAUUUGAGAUCAGUAGCCUAAGAGUGAAAGCUAGGAAGGACAGCUUCGGUUUCAGUAGUAACAGAGUGAGUGUCGAGGUUCCAGUAUUGUUGGCAUUGUUUUGAUCUAUGUUGCAGUAGCGCAUUCCUAGUUAGUGGGGUAAGUCCUAUUUCUUUAGUGGAUUCUUUCCAGUAAGUAGUUCGAAGCCGAUACUCACUACUCAUAUUCUGGAUUUCAGGAUUGAUUCUUGUAGCUUAUUCUGAUCCCCAGCUAUGAGUUAUAGCCUCGUUAGACAGUUAAUUAAAGAAUACAGGCCUUGUUGGCAGCAAAGAGCAAUACUUAUGACUUAGGAAGUAGGAGUGGGGGGAGGUUGUCAAUAAAGUCAUACUCCAAAUUAGGAUAGUAGGAAUCAUAGCCGGUAAGGUAGUAAAUAGAAUAGCAUAGGGCAUUGUAUGAUCCUGCACAUAUAGUAUAAGAAUGGAGUUGCCAUCAGUAUUAGUAUCAGCGGCACCAGUAUCAGAAGAAAACUCAGCAGUAACAGACCUAAGCCUUAUUAUGCUUGUCCAUUUUCAAGCCUUGCUCUCUGUAGCUCCCAACUAUGACUCUUACGAUCCCACCCUAGUGUCUUUAUUUACCUUAUCUUGGCCUGCGACUCCCGACCUCACAUCUGUAUUCGAGGGCCACUUACUUAUUGAAUUCUUAUGGUUGAGUCCCCAGUUUCUUAGGUUGGGUCUUUUGAUGGAACUACCUAUCCUUAGCACUAUACUUGGAAUUCUGUAUUUCCACUCUUAUUCCUCUACCGAUGGGUUUGAUCGCCUAUAUGCACUAUUGCGUUAAGGUAUAUGCUGCAGUAUUCUUGACUAUGGGUUAGAUUCUAAUAAUAGUUGUUUCAUACCGAAGUAAGGAAAGGCAGACUUCAAGUAGGGGGUGACACUACAGAACUCAACUCAACACUAGAGAAUGAACUAGUCACUGACAAGACCAACUAUGUGUUAUGCGGUAGUGGGUUCUUCAGUCAUAAUCAAGCGACUCCUAAGGAUCGGAACUUCUACUUUCACUGGUGCUUAUAGGGUUUCAACUCAACGCUGGGAAUUUCACUAGUGGCAAAUAGGCUUACUGCCUCUGUCACUAAUGCUACCGAGACUGAAAUCACUACCUGAAAGAUCUGGACUGGGAACUCAGGAUCCAACUAAUGAUCUGGAUCUUUGCUUCUUAGAUCGAAACAACUUACUUGCUUUCUGGAUUUUACCAGUUAGCAUUUCCUUCCUUGAAAACUGGAUUGAACCUAGUAGGGCCCGCGCCUCUCUGACUUUUCUUCUUUAAGUAAUGGAAUGGAACUUUGCUCUACUGACUUCCAAUCUGAUAUCCUUGCCUUUAGUCUCUAGUCACCGAUCCCCGGAUCUUUGCGUUACUACAUAUCAGUAUUACUUCACUUUAUCUAAAACUAGCAUCCCUUUCUUUUGGCCUUGCUUUAUAUAUCUUAAUUAGAAGAAACCUAGAAAUACAUAAGUAUGGCCCUAAUACAUAAUUCCAGCGCACCUACAAAUAGGAAUUUCACUAAAAAGUCAGAAAUCCAUUAUUGCUAACAAGAACUUAACUCAGAACUAAUACUUUCACUACUGUUUCCGAGCCUACUAUUCCUGUCUUUCUAUUAUUCUUGCCUUACUUGUUUGAAAACUAAAACAACCGGUUAUCGCUCUUGGGCUACAGGCUUUUCUUCUUACUUUUGAGCUCGGGCCUGUCUCUCCUUCCUAUAAGGUUGUAACUACUGAGUCGGAUCCUUCCCUGGUUGACCACAAUACUCACUAGCAGAUUAAACACACUAGAUCUAUGAUACUUUACACCGAUGUGAAGCUGGAACGAUACUGAUGCGCAUGGGAUAGGACCAAGGCCUGUGUAAGAAGCGGCUACUGCCCAGGAUAGUGAGAAUAAAAGACUAACCGACUAGACAGCAGCUCUUUGAGUCAGAAGAAAAACUCACCCGCUUUUUCAUUCAUUUCCCCAAACAGUCAUUAUUAUCCUAGAGGGAAAGUGAGCAUUGUCCUAGAAUUUACCUAAAGGAAGAUGCUUCCCCCUUGAUUCUGGAAUACGCUUCCAUUUUGUAAACCUUUGUUCAAAAGAAAGGAGCGGUAUAGACGAACUAAAAAGCAAGAAAGGCAGUGGAAGAGUUAGACGGCAGCGUUAUGGUCUGUGUUUGCCCGCAGCUCUAUUCUCUUAUUAGUAUUGAUUUGAUUGUACUGUACUCGUAUGUGUUUGACUACUUUUCUUCUUAGUUACGAGUUUCAGUCCUGUUGACAUUGGUUGGAUUAUGAUAGGCUUAGGUUCCACUCUUAUUUCAGAGUUCCGCUCUUAUAUGCGCUAGAGCGUAUCUCUCCUGCUGAGUUUGGUUCUAUUACUUCUAAGCUAUUACUUAUUACUCUUAUUACUUAUAUGGGUUCAACCCAAUAAUCCAUAUUUGAUGAGGUAAUGCAAGGUACAACUAACUGCGAGUCUGAUAGGUGGGAAAGUCAGUCUGUUACUACUAACUGAGAGAAAGGAGUAGAGGCCUAAAGCCCAGAAGUAAGGUUUAGAGAAAGAGGUGUCAGUUUGUAAGUAAAGAGUAGCAGGCUAUGAGUGGGCAGUGAUAGUCUUCUUACUUAAUGGAUUGGAUUAGCUCACUAGUACCGAAGCCUUGUUUGCUGUUUGGGCAAUGUUGGAUUCUAUUGGUUUUAUACGCUAUAUCAUCGUGUGCACCUCUAUUCUUAUUGUUAUGAGUUCUAUUCUUAGUGCAAUUCCUCUAUUGGUUGCUCCAUUCCUUUUUUCAGGGAAAUAGCACAGGGGAUAAAGCAUAUGGGUACGGGAAUCCAGGCUAAGACUUUGUAUGGCUACCUUCAAGCUGUAUCUCUGCUUGCACUCUUCGACUGCUACACACCAAUGCGAAUCAAAACUAAUACUUCCAGGAAUGAGACCUGUGCCCUAACCACUGCAACUUCAAAGAGAGAAUCGAACCCGGCAGUACACGCCCUAUUAUAUGCCCCCGAAGCCUAAAGCCUUAUUACCUAUGUCCAUUUCCGAGCAAUGGAUAAGAGAAGGAGUUAAUUGAACCUAUGGAGCACCGGGUCCAGGUAUAGAACAUAGUAAAUACCCACCAUCCGUUCCCGAGUUCAAUCAGUUCUCUUUAUUCACAAGUCCUGUCUUCGUAGAUGUUUUCAGCGGGAAGGAACGGAAAGUUCACUCGAGAAUAAUAAUCCGCUGGCUAGAUAAGAUGCUUGAUAAAGAGUAGGAGCAGUCAAAAGAUAAGAAACAGAAGAUGGAGCGUACUUGAGUCUAGCGUGAGGGCUGCCUAGCAGAGUUAUUAUUCGGAAAGAUAGAUGUGAAUCAGGAAUUAGGUUCCACUUCUCUUAUUAGUUGUGCGGGAAAUUCCAUUGGGUAGCAAUGCUGUCCGUAUAGUAAGUCUCACUUGGGACCUAACUCAGCCUUGUGUUUCAUGCGCUCCCCUACUAUACAAUAUUGCUCCUCUAAAGGUAUAAAGUAAGGUCUCGCUAACCUUGACCGAGUGGGAAGAAUAGGAAAGCAGCUAGCUGGGUAUGCUCCUGCAGUCGGAAACAGGGUUAGGUUAAGGUGAAAGGAAGGCUAAAGUCCGGGGUGUUGGAAUCAAAGCAAGGGUUGGUAUAGUGUUAUAGCUAGGAGAGAUAUACUGAGAGAAAGUAGAGGCAGAGUCAACCUAUCAAUACAUAAUGAAGUGCUGCAGUGUCAGUUUCAAAGCUUGUAAGGGCAGGCUUCUGGGCAACCGUAGGGAUUUCAAUAACAAGUAAAGGCCUUUAGAGCGGGGAGUCUUAUCUUCGUUUCAGUGCUAAAGAAUGCCGGGUAGUAGUAAAGGGAGUCUGAUCUUCGUUUCAGUGCUAAAGAACGCCAGGUAGUUGUAAAAGAAUAAGAACAAGUAAAGACAGACUUACAGAAGAGAAGGGCAGCUUUAAGGUCAGUAGCUACAUUCUAUUAUUCCCCAGCUCUAUUCUUUCCAGUAGUUAAUUAAGUCUUAUCAGAUAGUAGAAUCAAUUCUCGUUAGUAGAAGUAUCGGUCUUGGUAGCCUCGAUACCAGUAUCAUAGGAAGUACUCGCAUUCCCGUGUUAGAGUUUCAAGUCUCGGAAAGGUACUCGUGUUGGUUUGAAAGCAAAGAGAUAUAGACAUAAAGGAGCAAUACAGAGAGUAUAAGUAAGGAAGGAGAGACUUAGAUGUCAGGGGUUAAGCUGUUCCUAGUCAAUACAAAUAUGAGUUCGUAGUUAGACAGUGUUAUAACCUUUGACCUUAGAGUCGGAUUCCCUGUUCCUGUCUUAAGGUAUUCUAAUACGUAUCCAUAUCCCUUGUUCCAAGUUGAAGUAUUAGCCAUAUCAGAGUAAGCCUGUAUUCCCAUCAUGACUAGAAGGAGGAGUUGGCUCCAGAGUUAGGAGGAGAAGGCGUAUAAGCCAAUAAGGUUAUUAUUGUUAGUUGACUUACAGUUACAAAGUAUCAAUUUCGAAGUGAAGCAUUGUGUUUAUAUUCCUCUUAUAUGGUCGAGUGAGAAAGAAUCGAGUAGCGUUAGAGGAGUUAUUUUCCAAUCAAUUAGCUAUCCAAGUGAAGGUUGGUAACUACACGGAUUGUCCUAUCUUCUUUAACAGGGGGUCGAGGCCCACGUGGGGUUUUUUCGUAUCAAGAAAGAGGGGGCCAAGCAACGACUAGUUUAAUCCCGAGUCGAAUACUAUACAGAAGGUUAAGAUCAUCUCUUUUCCUUUUCAUGCCUACCAGAGCAGGAGUUCAAUUGAUUUCUUGAUUUCUUGAUUUAGAAUAUAUUUCUUGAUUUAUUGAUUUCUGUCUUUCCUUAGUCUUGUUAAGAGCGAUAGGUAACUAACCCAGCUUCUUUAUCGUAGAUCCACCCAGAACUACUACACCUUAUACUAGAUGCGGGGGGGAAACAUAGCGAAACUGCCGCUAGUAAUGAUAAGUGACUUACCGGUGCGGUGUAAUAUGAACUCGAACUGCACUGUGCACUUAUUAUGUUUUAUGGGAAAUGCCCUAGGAAGAGAGAAAACCCGCUUUCAAUUGCUUUUUGCCUAUCAAAUGGGGUAUUCGUUAUCGGAAUAGCGUGUACUCUAAAUUAUUAGUAAGGGUCCUGCUUCUAAGAUACUAAUCAUAAGGGAAGGGUCUUCCACUCCGGAUAUCCCUAGUAAUGAGCUCCUCUUUCUUGCCCACCUCCCCUCUGUAAACUAAUAUUGAUGAAACUUUACCUUGACCUAGAACUAUCACUAGCAUUGGGAAAUUCCCUACUGAAUGAAGUACUUACUUUUGAUGAGCAUUUGGCGUUUUACCGAUCAAAAAAAAAGGCAGUGAGGUGGUUUUAGCUAAUAGAUCGAUCCACUUCUAUGAUGUUUUUUCUAUGCAAUUCAAAACUUCAAUACCAGGAGAUAGUUCAAUACCAGGUUAAUGCCUUUGUAGUAGUGUAUUGUCCCUUGAGUGAAAGGCUUACUAGCGCAUUCAAUGAUUUUAUCGAAGUAGAGAGGUCGGGAAGUAGAGAAUAGUUGCCUGUUGCCUGAGUUAGAUGAGCCCAUAGAUAUAGGAGAAGAAUGAAGUUGGCUCCUGCCCCAAUAAGGAUAGAGUGGACAAAGUAGAGGCCAGGCCAGGUAGCACUUCUCCUGUUCGAGGUAAAGUAUAAAGUGUAGUGGAAAGUCCUGUUUUCGGGAUCAAAAGAUAGGGCAAGAUAUGAAGCAUCAGAAUAAAGGCAAACAGUAGAUGAAAAGUCAGUAGAAAGUAAGCAGUUAGAGCUGUUUCAAGACAAGAGAAGAAGAUCCAUCUUUAAAAGCAGUGCGGGAAGGAACUUCAAGUGUAGCCGAAGCAUAAGCCAUAUCACAGGAUCCGUUCGAGUUUCAUCCUAUAUGUUAUCUUCUAAUAAGAAUGGGAAUUGGAAUGUAGGAUCUCUGCGAAACUUCUCUUAUGGCUAAUGUAGUACUGCUGAAGAAGGCUUAUUUCCAAGUACAGGCAAGAAGUAAGAUGACACUUAUCCAUAUACGAUCUAGUCCAUACGAUCUAGGUGUUGGCGAAAGAAAGGUGGAAUAGACUCGAUGAAGCUGUUUCAACAGAUGAAGCAGCCAGUGGUUCUUUUCUCGUAUAGAUAAGAGAGUAUUUGCUGUACGUAAAUCAGGUUACGGUGAAGCAUCUCUGGACUUUGACUCAGUAGUGUUUGCUGCUUACUUUUUCAGUGUAGUUACUUUAUUCCAUAUAGAGCAAGAGGUUUCAAGUAGGCUUACGUUCAUCUCUGAUAGAAGCUAGAAGCUCCUCGUAAAGUCAACGGGAAAAAGAAAACAGUAAGAUUUGAUAGGGGUGGGUCGGAUGCUCAAACAAAGUCGUUGAAUUGAAUACGAAUUCCAGAGUAAAGCUCCUAACGUGCCUGGUAAUAAGUAUCUUAUAGCCCACUACACUACGCUUGGGAAGAAUAUACUGUGAAGCAGAAGAAGUAAAGCCAUACAGAUCAGAAGCGGUUGCCGAAGCCGAAUCUACUCUUUCAGAAUUGGUUUAAGCUGUAGGAUAAGAAACAGUAUAAAGUGAGUCAUCUACCAGAGAAGCAUCUGAUGCGGGACGGGAAUCGAACUUGUUUCAAAAGUCAGCCGAUUCCUAAAGUGCCCUUCUUGUGUCUAAGCCAUAGAUAGAGGUGAUUGUGUUGAUAAGUGAAUCAGUGUUUUUUAAGUCUACUCGAUAAAAGCAAGAUAAGUUUUCUAAGAAGUCAAGUAUCUCGGUGUUGUUUUGUUGACUCUCAAUCAGAAAGCCUAAAACUAUCAAUCAGGUCAAUCAAGUGUUCCCGCCUAAGAUCCGGAUAGCGAUCUUGACUCACCUGUGCCAACUCUAUUUGCUCUAUCUGCGCCAACUCUAUUUGUUCUAUAAGUAAGAUUUCACUGUUCAAAGAAAGUCACCUAUCUUAUUAAAGAAAUGAAAUAUCUCCUAUAUAAAUGACAUAGCUACUAUCUUAUUAAAGAAAUGAAAUAUAUUAUAAUACAAGCUACUACCGAAAGAAGCGCAAGCAUCUGAACCAACUCGACUGGAACCACAUCCCGCUACACCUGUAUUAGAUUCUUUCUCGCCCGACCCCCCUACACUUAUUUCAAUGAAAACUUAGGAGACUAGACUACCCAAAGAAACUAUACUACCGCUGGAAGAUACCUCGCGGAAGAAGGCUAUUCUCUAAGUAUGUAAGGGAAGGCUUGCACGCCUGUGUCGUAUAAAACCUAUGUUCAACCUACCACUGGAAGAUACCUCGCUUAAGAAGGCGGAUUUCCCAGUAAAGCUGAAGAAGGCAAUAGUCCAAGUAGAAACAAGAAAGCGGAUUGAGAGUCGACAACACCACUGUUUGUUGCUUCAUAUGGGCGGCAUCUGAUCCUAGAACGGAUCUUGAUCCUUAUUUGGCUUCAAAUACGGUUCCCCUUCUCCCGCUUAUGAACUUGUCGCCUUUAUUGGACUUGCUUCUGAACACUAUGGUUCCUUUCCACUUGAUACUUGCAAUAUAGUAGUAAGGGAGCAGCGAUAUACUCCUAUCUUUCUACCUUACACCGGCUAAAGAACCUUGAUACUGCUAUCGCCACAAUUCAGAAGUCUGGGCCAGUGUCAACUAAUACUACUACGCGUGAGAGGAGAAGGUCAACGAGCUUGACAAGCGGGUAAUACAAGAAAGGGCAAAAGCUACGGACUCAAUGGAGCUCCUGUCAGAACAACUUCCGCUGUUGAACAAACACAGAGCAUUGCUUAUUGCCCGGCGAAAGAGAAGUAAGCUAAUGUAUCGUUACUUGAGCUGACUCCUAACUUGUUGUGAACUCAGUCAGAUCUAUCAUAUUACCUAAUUUGAUACUAUACUCUUUUCUUGAAACCUAACUCAUAUUACUCGAAACUUGAAUCUAUCAGCAGGGCACCAUACCUACCCCUUGAAACUCCAAUACCAAUUAGUGCCCCAGAACCUUAGCAGCUUUGGUUUCCGAACCUGACACUAUAAACUCACUUAUUGAAACCUGACACUAUAAACUCACUUAUUGAAUUGAACUGAGUGCACAACACUAGUGGGUUCAGCAGUGAAGUUUAGGCCUAGUAGAAAGUAUGAAAACGAAAUGCACCUUAUGUGAUAUCUAAUUAAGUAACAACGCUCCUUACUCAAAGCUACAAAACGACUAACCCCCUUCCUUCAGCCUUAAAAGGAGUACUGGCAGGAAGAGAGUGUACCUGGGUAAGAUUAACGGCUCAAAUCAUUAGAAGGACAGAACAAGCAACCAUAACUCCGGCACGUUUAAGUAGCUCAGCUCCCAAACACCAUUUCGAACUAAGUGAACUUUAGCGGGGGCGCUUAGGAUAGUUUCAGAUUCUUUUCUUCAUGGUUGACUUCACCUAGUCCCUAACUCCAAUUCUCUGUAUCAUUGCGAUUCCAAGUAUCAAGUAAGGUUGAAAGAGGCAUUUUGUUCUAAAGAGUCCCCCAUACCACUAUAUUACCAUUCUAUGGAGGAAUCUCCCCAUAUUAUAUUCUAAGGAGUAAGGGCGGAAGCCAUGGAGUCAAUUCUCUUCCUUUUGAAAAAGGCAGUGUUUCAAAGUGAGUUUUGAAGCAAAGCAGUGAGUUGUUGUUUAAUCUCUUCUAUCGUAUAUGCACUCCAUGAAUCAAUGAAGAAAUUGAAGUUCUUUUCCUGUCUUUAUCGGCUAACGCUUAUUCUUGUUUAGAGCACAAGAAGCAAGUGGUGGAGUUAACUACAAAAUUCUAUAAUAUGCUCGCUAGAUUCAAAUAGAAUAUGCUCGAUAGAUUCAAAUAGAAUAUGCUCGCUAGAUUCCAUUAGAAUAUGCUCGAUAGAUUCCAUUAAGUGAACAAGCACCGGGCCAAACAACUAGACAAGUAACGACUACUGAAAUUAUGACUUGCUGAAUUCAUAACUAUAGCUCAUCUAACUCUUUGCAACUAAAACUCCAUCUCAUCCCUCUCUGGCUCUUGGAACUCUGGCUCCCUUUAGCCACGAGGAAAGGACACUGUAGCUUGCACUUAUUAACGCUGCUUGGCUGAAUUGAUUGAACUCUGUUAGCGCAACACGUCGAACUCACUUUAGCUCUAUAGUCUGGAGCUGACUAACGCUAUAGUCACUAACGCCAUAGUCAGGAACUCUACCCUUGCUUUAAACAUAAUAAAUGGAGAUUAUUUCCUCAGCGGAAACGGACCCCCCUGAUUGAUUUCCAGCUUCGUCUUCGGCUAAAGAUCCUGUUCCUUACUAUCCACUUGAAGAUUACUUGCGCACUGUUGAUUCUUCUGCAACUGUUUCAAAAUACCGCUCUGCUCCUGAUUCUAUACGAGACUAAAUGGAAACGACUCUAUCGUAGCCAAACACUUGAACAGCAUCUUGGUUUGUUGGCGCAAGUGCAAGAUCAGAAACAGAAUCUAGGACUGGCUUUGAAAGGUAAUAACAACCUUGUAGUGCUCCCGCUUUGGGGUAAUAAUCAAGUUCGGUUUGGUGCUUGGCUUUACGUCGGUAGAGAGAAUUCCGUUAUUGGCUUUCCCUUUGCUUUGCGUGGAUAAUGUCCUUACCUGGAAAGCCCUUGCGCUAACACUUAUUUGAGUUGCGGGAUGCGGGGUGCGAGCGAGUUUCAUCGUAUCAAUUGUGUGCUAGUUUCAUCCUAUAAAGAGGAUCAUCUCUUUGUGAACGAAUACCCAAUACACGCUUAAGCAGUGCGAAGAAAGUCGACGAUAGAAUAAUUAGUAUUAGAGAAAGAUCAUAAGCGGGAUAAGUUCGAAAGGCAGCUACAAGUAGUUCUUUUGUAGAAAGGGGAAGUAAGUAUAAACUGUUUCAAGUAAGUAAGCUAAAGAAUUGCCAGUUCGACUUGCCUUGCAUCCGUUCUUGUUGAAGAAAAGGUCGAGGUCGGCAAAAGAAGUAGCUUGAGUAUCGAGAAUCCGCUGUAGGGCGAGGAAAUGAAAAAGGGGCAGAACUCACAGAAGCUUACUUGAGCGAAGCGGGGUUAGGAUUAGGUUAUCUAAAUCACUGAAGGAAGAGUUUGUUGUGCAAUGAAAGCAGUCAGCAUAAGAGGGAUUAGAUGCUGGUAAGGAAGCAUAAGAAUCAGAGGGCCAAGUAACUGCAACAAGCAACAGAGAAAGAGAGUGAUUGGUUAAGGCAACGGAACAAGCAAGCACAAUAACUCCACGAAACGACUUUGACAUAGAAUUAGGAAUAGAAAAUAGUGCGCGGUGAACUGAACGCGUAGACAAACAAGGAUUGUCCCCCCGCUUACCGAAACAAACAAGCUUUGUAUAUUGUAUAGCUCAAAGUAACGGUGUUUUUUAAAAACAUUAGAUAAUGUGUUUAAACCUCGCGUAAGGCAGUUGUCUGGAGCAAGUACUGUGAGUUUUCGUAUCGGCGUUAUCGAGUUCCACUGGUUGCAUCUUAUUAAUGUACACAGAUUCUGGCAGAGGGUUAGUCAUCAAUCAAUAGGGAGCUUGCUUACUCAAUCAUUGAUUCUACGAGUCUCUUAUAGCAUCUACUAAAUUCUACGAGUCUCUUAUAAGCAUCUACUCAAUAAGGCAUAGAUUCUCAUAUUCUAUGAGUCUCUUAUAUCCCUAUUGAAAACUAUCUUAUUACUGUACUGUCUGUACCACCAAUCUUAUUACUGUACUGUUUGUACCACAUUAUGUCACUUAUUAACUCUAGUAACUCACUUCUAUAUGUUAGCUUGUUCUGUGCCGAUUGUAACUCACUUCUAUAUGUAAGCUUGUUCUGUGCCGAUAUUAGAUUGCAAAUGUGUUUGUGGCUUCUGAAGAAAGUGGAGUUUUCGGAUAGCCCACGUAGCCGUGCUUGUGUUGUCAUAGAGUUCCAUUCUUGGCUUUACCCUUGUUGUCCUAUCGUAUAAGGAGGAAGAAUGCUUAGCCCACUUCACUAGAAAUGCUGUUAAGUCGAGGGGCACAGUCUCAAAAGAAGGAAACGAGAAAUGCGGUUAAGGCGAAGGUCAAAAAAAGGGAUACUCUAUAAAUGAAGUUCUGUUAAGGCGAAGGGAACUGUAUCAAAGGAGAAAUCAGAAUAACAAAAAAAAACCAAGUAUACGAUGCUUAAGAAAAAAGAAGAAAGAAUAUGAAAAACCCAGUAUACAUACGAGGCUUAAGAAAAUAGGAAAAAGAAACAGUGAGCUCCCGACGAAGAAACCGUAGAAAGAUCAUUAGCUGAAGAUAGAUCCGUGUUGGCGCCGAGAGAAUCCGCAGUCUAAGCUGAAAGGAGGGCGCUUGUCAGGUCAGAGCGAGCAGAGGUCAGAUUCAUAAGAGAGAUAUUCCAAUUAAGAACUUCUAAAGUCGACGAGAAUGGACUUUGCCUUAUAGUUGGUUUGUGCUUCUUCAGCGCAGGUUUAGUCUCCAGUAAGUAUACUUUCGAUUUCGAAAGGAAGUAAGGGUGCCGACAUCAAUCAAAUAUUCAAACAGUGAGAUUUAGAAGCAAAGCAGUAAGUAAGUAAGGAAAGAGUAAGGAGUGAGUGAAAAAGUAUACUAUUUUCGUCUAGGAAAGUUGUACUUAGAAGCAGUUCGAAAGCCAAGUGAAGGUCGAGGAAGAAGAAAUUCCAUGCUUUGAAGCGCGUUCGGUUAUUAUUGAGCCCAGUAUCUGCCCUUCAACAAGUAAAGUAGUAGAGUAGUCCAAAGGUUGACUUCACCCGUAAGCUCUAAGUAUUAUAUAAAGUAGAAAGUAUAAGGUAUCAAUCAAGCUAGAAUAGAAGCCCUAUUGCUUGCUCAUUUGCCGUUGCUAGCGUGACUGCAUUUUCUAUUCCUUUGGAACUUGGCUUGCUCCUGUAGCUCUACACUCUAAGUAGUAAAGUGGAGUUCUUGUGCUUAGAAAGUCAGAUGUUUCUGUUUGCCCAGUUCUACUUAUAUCGGUAUUAAGAAGAAGACUCCGGAGCUGGAGUGAGAAAUGCAUUCUUGGUUGACUUUACGGAAGACUGCCCAGGCCCACAACAAGACUCAGUUGAGUUGGUAAGCAGCUUUCUUACAUUCCUUAAUGAUAGGCGGGUGGGAUAGAUUCAAUUACAUACUUUUCAGCAAGGGAAUCCAGAUAGGAAGCCAGGGAAUAAAGAUCUUCAUCUUCUUUAUAGGAAUAGGAGUCAACUCUCACAGUCAAUUCCGCUGCUGCGGAUUCUCUUUCCACUUAUAUUGAUUAUUCCUAGACACUAACUCGUAUACCCUGAACAUAAAGUAAGCCUUAUUGCCCUGAUUUUAUAGCCCAACUCUCAAUAAAGAAGAGCUGUAAACCCAUCUUGUUUGUCAGAAAUAAGAAAAUAGGGCUCGGCUCCUCUUGCCCCAGCAAUGAAGUUCCUUCCGUUUCCAUUCACUGGGAGAAAUAGAAAGAAAGGAUCGAAUUCCUUUUAAGAGUGGAUGAAGUAUGGAACAUCAAUCCAACCUGCAACUAAGUAUUCCAUAGCCCUAUAAGCAGAAGAGGGCUCCAGGCCCCCAACCAUUUACAAAAGUGAAAGAGCCUUACAAAUUCAGUCUGGCUUCAAUAAAACCAUAUAUGAACGAUUAAUAAUUGAACGAGGUAGCCCAGUUUGCCAAUCCAGUUUCCCUAAGGCAUAUGAAGUAAAGACUAUACUAGAAAGCUACAGCAAGGGCCCGAAGUCUCGGUUACCAGAAACCCGUCCCCAUCAAACCCGUAUUGCCCCCACCACUAAACAACCUUUAAGGGGCUUGGCUUAUUCCAUCCAAUCAGUCAAGUUCCAGUAUUGUUCUGCUAGAUUGAAGAAACCUUUUCCUUUAUGUCUUUGCUCAUUGAGUCUCAUUUAGUCAUUUUGGAGAUAGAUAAAGCAGAAAGCUGCGCCCAAAGGUGACCAACUGACAAGGGCGUUGAUAGGUGACUGAUUGAACCAACGGAGCUGUACUUUUCAUUAUGCACUUUUUAGGGCGUGAGCGGCAUUGUCAUUCGCUUUAGUCUGAGGAAGAAGUGCGAUGUAUUUGAUAUAGGAUCUUCUAAUCCGCCCUGACUCUUUGACGGAGUAGGGGGGAAAGGAAAGCAACGAGUAAUUGUAUUUCAUCUAACUAAGAAAAAACCCUCCAAAUGAUGUCUAUAGGCUGACCCGAUUAGUCCUCAAAUGUUCCUCCUUAAGUCGACCUAUGCUUGAAAUACUUACCCUGACCCAGCCACAACGCUCUAGCUUCGGACGAUCCUUCUGAAUAUCUCUAGUCAAAACUCACCAUUCUUGUCUCUAGUCAAAACCACUCACGAAGCUCUUUUAAGUAUAGAGUCCGGAAGGUUUGGGAAAACUGGUUCCAAAUGAAUAGGAAGACUCUGACAUCAGUGGUUAUUGCUUAAUGUUACCAGGCAAGGAACUAGACAAGCAGACAAGCUUACUUAGAGUCUACCCGAGUCUACCCGAGUCUACCGAGUCUACCCGAGUCCACACGAGUCCACCGAGUCUAAGUAAUAUAGGAAUCCUUCUUUUGGGCUCCUGCUAACGCAAAGUAAUCAUUUCACGACUAUACCUCUAUUUCGAAUUACCCUUUACCGAUCUAAACAGUCUUCAUCUUCUGAAUGAAUUGCAUCUUUAGAUUCGGCUUUUCUUGGGGGGAACUCAACGGAGUAUAUAGUCACAGUAAUAACCGCCAAGUAACUACAACAAAAACAGAGAGCCAAGCAGACGAGCAACUACAACAAAAGCAUAGAGCCAAGCUUAGUAUAAUAAAGGCGCAACUACGUUAUCUUACCCCAUCUCUCUACGAUCUCGCAACAAAGAAUGAAUUGAAACAAUCCCUUCCCUAAGCACCGAGUAAAGUCAAACAGGAAAACAUUAAUGGAAAUAUGUAAGUCACUGAUUCUAUAUAAAAGGGGAAUACACCUAGAAACUCCCUUACCGUCAACAACAUCAGGAUCCGGGGGUUCACAGGUAAGAAGAAAUUCCAUGCUUUGAAGCUAAUACUGUUCGCUAGUUUGUAGUAGCAAAACAAGCGACUACUAAAGGGAAUAGUUCGGUGUCCUACAGGGAAGAGUGCGGUCGGUGCCCUAUAAAUAGAACAGGAAAAGAGUUUCCUCAGUAACAAUUCCAUUCCAUUUAUUCUUAAGAGAGUUUAUUCAGCGCCAAUUCUAUUCUUUCUUGGAUGCGAGGUUCCCUAAAACAUACUUUUUGCCCAAUGAUUCAUUUAGAAAGAUUCUCUUACGUAGCUCCGGAACUAAUUCUGCAUCUAGAUCCAGGCCACGGCAACUGAGCUAGGGGUGGGUAUCGUGCAACAACAAGAAGGGUGCGCAGGGGAACUAAUUCAGAAAAGUCACAUAGAUAGCUCACAUUAUUUAGUUUAAGUAAAAGCAUUCAGUCUUCGAUAGCAUCGCACAGUCUAUGAACUACUAUGAACUCAGUCAUCGUACAUCCUUAGCUUCGGGGGACAGUAAAGGGUGGACAGAAAACUCAUUCUUUGUAUAUGGUAGGGUAACUCCGUCUUUGAAAUAAGUCUUUGAAACCAAAAAGCAAAGCACGGUAGGGUGGCUAAAGCACGGUAGCAUUAAUUCUUCAAGUGAUCCCCAGCUCAUUAUCUUUUCUAUUCAAUAAGUAACACAGCUCAUUAUCUUUUCGAUUCUAUAAGUAACACAGCUCAUUCUAUUUUAUUGACACAUCAGAUUGACUAUCCAACCAAGUCUUCCCUGUGGCUCGUUCAGCUCACCCACGACCCUAUGUUGAUUAAUCUCUUUAAGCCAAGCCCCUUUUCCAAAUAAAACCAUCUUCACAAUCAUCGAUUGCUCCCUCAUCCAUGGUAACUGCUAGCACCUCUAACCAAGACCACUAUUUCCUACUACUCUAACCAAGACCACUAUUUCCUACUAUAAUAAACCUCACGGAUCCCACUCAAUCUUUUACACCGAUGUUUCGUACUCUCUGGACCAGGUCAUCAUAAGAGGAGAAUACUGCGAAAUCUUUCCUAAGUAAGUAAAGUAAGUAAGUAAGAGAAGGAGGGAAGGCGCACGCUACAACAAACAGCCUGCUGAAAAAAGACAAGAAAAAAGCAACGAAACGAAUAAUAAUAGCUUUGUUAGGAGUGAAACGCGUUAGCACUUACUCUCCCCCGCUUGCUGCUUUCUUUUCUUAUCGCUGUGUUUCAAAAAUGAGAUGACAGGUAACCUUAGGCAAGAGUCGUGACCAUGCUGGUUUUGUUAGGCUUGUUGUACAUUGUCAGAAAAGAGAGUUGGUUUAGGUACAUCGUUGAUUAGUAAACCUUAGGUGCUCUGGUAAGGUCUGGACCGUGGUCGUGCGUCUCAGGUUUGCCGGCCGAUAAGAUCACUUCAAUUGACCAGCCAGCUGUGUUGGUUUGGCUAUUACUUGCUAUUUCAAAGUAGUCAGCUGUCUGCGCGAGUCACCUUCCUUCUUCUAGGCUCCGAGUCACCUUCUUCUAAGCUCCGCUGGACGACACGGCAUUCUCGUUCUAUAGGCCGGCCGUACUUGUGAUGGUUCCCCAGGAUCCAAUAAACUUAGGUCUACGUUGCCACGAUAUUGUUCUAUGGAAGCGGGCGGGCAGCUCUUUGGAUAAGUUCGGCCCGGUAUUGCAUUCUUGAUUAAUAACAUGGGCAUUGAUCUUUCUCACGCAUAUUCUGUCGUACCGGCAUGGCCCCAAGGAUUUGUUUUCGAUCGGAGCAUCAAGCAGCGCAACCCGGUUCUACUUGACUAAGCCCAGUGCUCUUCCAAGGAGGGAGUUUGCUUGACCCAACUCCCCAAUUUGGAACAAGGCAUAAACCUCUUACCCUAAAUUCAUGAGUUUAGAAUGAAGAGUUCCCCCAUUCUUUUGGAAUCCCGAAAUCUGGGAUUUGGAAGUUGGUAAAGACCCACCCCUUGUUGAAGUCAGAAUGAGUCCCCUGGACAUUGGCUUCCACCAACAGUGAACUACUAAGGAUCGCAUCCCGCGCAUAUUCUACAUUAUAGCCUGCAACUGAUUCAGCUUCCGCUUCUGGGAGAUCAAACGGAGCUCGAUUCGUUUCUGCUAGACGAGGAAUAAGGAACAUAACCAAUACGGGGAACAAGGGAAUACCAGACCAUAUCUGCUUUUGCGCCAUGACAAUCUCACUCGAAUUACAGGGACCUACACAUAUUAGUACAGUAUACCGGGGUCCCCGGCCAGAACCACACGUGCAAGUUUCCCUGCAUGUGGCUCGUUCGUUCUUUUUUAUCCGAAGCAAAGCCUGUUACUCUGCAUGGGAGAAGAGUGCGGAACUGCUUUCGUGUUCAAGAGCAUGGAAUUGUCUUAGUUAGUAGAUAGAUUAGAACUCCAUAAUAUGCGCACCGAGAACGAGAAUAGAUAGAGAUGUUAGCUAGCAGGGGCCUUUGGUAGUCCCGGUCUCUGGCCGGCCUCUGACAGUCCAUCCCGUCUAAUCAUUCUUUGGCUAUAUUAGUUGCAAGUAAUGUUAGCUCUACAUUAAACUAUUUGUCGAUUGUUGACUAAACCGGAACUCAUCAGUAACCCCCGAUUUCCUAUUCUGCUUUGCUUGACGCCUACAUUAAGAGAAUAGGUCCCUAGGCCUUCCUUUAAUCAUCUAUACUAGACUCUCCCAAUAGGAACGAACUAUUUAUGCGCCCUAAGAAGCGGAACGCGCCAUCACCUACUGCCCUUUCCUCUGCCGGGGACUUCUAGAAAAGAAAACGGGCGGCAUGGUCGUAUGUUCGACAUGAGUUGCCCUGGUGUAUAUCCCGGAGUACUCCUAUGGCCGAUCUGUCACCCAGCAAACUACAGCAUCUUGGAAAAACGUCUUUCUUAGCCGAAUAGUUUAGGUAAUGAAAUACUAAGCAUCAAAGAAAUACAGCAAGGCGAAACGAAACUACUGCAUCAAAGAAGAACAUAAGCUAUGAAAAGCCCCCCUAUAUACCUAGAAUUGUUAAGAUGCUUGGCCCCGUCCCGUGUGGCUCCUUACGGCACGUUAGUGAUUAUCGCUUAGUGGCGUUGACAUAAUGAGAAAGCCGCGACUUAUCGCAUGGUUCUUGCCUCCCUCCUUGGAGCUCGUCUAUUCCUUGCUUGGGUGAUCCCUUGCUCUCACGUUCGAGUGUUUGCUCAUCGUUUAGGCCGGUUAGUUCCAUUUCUGCUCAUUGCAGUUGCCUCCGGGGUUCUUCGCACCUGGGUAGUACCAGGACCCUUGUGCCCCAGCUAACUUAUCCAAAGAGCUGCCUAUGUAUGACCCAAAACGAAAAGAAGCCUUGCGACGAGACGCGGACAUUCCUCAUGCUGCGGUUCCCUCCGGUCCGUUCCCGGGUUGGGUUAGGGGAAGAUCCGAGCGCUUCGCGGAUCCAAACGUGCUCACAAGGCGCAUAAUAAGAAUCAGACCAAUAGAGACUUCAUAAGGGACCAUUUGAGCUGCAGAUCGUAAUGCUCCUAGAAAGGCAUAUUUCGAAUAUAGAGGAAGUUCCCAACAAUGCCACAAAGAAAAGAGAAUGAGAAAACUAUGAACCGUACGAGCACGUCCUCUCUCACCCCACCGCGCUUACGGCUCUAUACCCCAACUAGCUCUGGCCCCGGGUCCUCCCGCAUCUCUUCCUAGGUAAGUAGACCGUGGAAGCUGGGGUGUAUCCGCUUGCGACAGAUAGAAAGCUGCAAGCAUAUCCAUGGUUGAUACCUAAAGCCUAUAUAAAAGAAGCUCUGCCUAACAAAUAAGUUGAUACCUAAAGCCUAUAUAAAAGAAGCUCUGCCUAACAAAUCCAAAUAGUGGACGCGUCAGAGACAUCUUUAUCAGAAGAGGAGGCUUCGUCCUCCGGCUACUCAUAAAUGAUUAUAGGAUCGGCCGGCUCAUCCUCGGAAUCCAACAAAGAUGGAAGAGAAAGAGAAAUAACAUAUUAGGUGAAAUUACAUAGCGAAUCAGACAGAAUAGGAUGUAGAAGAAAGAAGAAUCAAGAGAAAGAAGGUAAUGGAAUGGGCUAGGAAGAGAAAGAAGGUAUUGGAAUGGGCUAGGAAGCUACCGUUUAACGAAAAGCAAUGCUACAAGCAAGGUAGCGACUCUCUGUCUAGCGUGUGGGGGGGGCAUUGGAAAGACUAGACCAUACUCAUUAGUACAAUAGGCAUUCGGGAAGCGCCUAGUCGUUUAUUUCUGACGAAGCUUAACGAAGGCCGACUACUUACUACAUAGAGACAACUACCAGUCAUGAGCGAUAGUGAAGCCUAGAGAGUAGGAAACAGUCGCUUGACGGACGCGAUAGGCGGGCGAAGUGAGCGAUACCAAGCCGAGCCACUAGUUUAUUGGGUGCCUACAUUACAUAUAUGGAAGAAGUCAUAGGUUAAACACAUCGAACGAAACAAAACGGAAAGUGAACUAUUGAACAGUGUGAUUGAUAAGAACAGUACUAGCUCAUCACUCGCCUAGCAACUGUAGUAGUAGCUUGGCCGGGGAUCUUCUUUCAUUGAAUAAUUCGCUUGCGAGAAGUCCUAGCAUUAGUAUGAGUUCGUUGACCGCGUAAGGGCGAUCCAUCUUGAUGACGAAUUCCACGAUAACGAGAAAUAGAAAUUAAUCGUUUGAUGUCUGCUCGUUCUCCCCUCUUCAAUUCCCAAUUCACAACAUGAUCUUGACUUAUCAUUUGUUCCAUUUGGUCGAUCUGAUACUUAGUUAACUCCUGAAUCUUGAUGUUCCCACUGAUACCUAAUCGAUAACGAAACUUCAUGGCUUUUUGAGGUCCAAUUCCAUCCAUUUUGGUUGAGGCUAUUCUGACUUGUUCAUCGGGAACUGAUAUAGCUCCAUUAUUAUCUGACAUUAUUAAUCCUUAUACCUUUUCCUGGUCUUCUCGGCUGGAAUCUACAAGGGGUCUCCAUCCCUCCACUCACGAACAAAGCUAGCCAUUUCUCUUGACUAGAGAAAGAUCAUAGCAGAGAUUACCCAUACCCGAAAGAGCAUAGCAGAGAUUACCCAUACAUACCCUAUAAGUAAGAGACUAUAUUAUUACCCAUACAUACCCUAUAAGUAAGAGACUAUAUGCGCUUUCAAGUACUCCAACAUAGAGAGAGCUAUUUCUUUGAUUCUUCUAUUGAUCUCAGAAAAGAUUGGAAAGUGUCCCUAUACUUAUGUAUAGGCGAGAAGGAGCCCAGCCCGCCUUUCUCUUACUAUAUCUGUGAAAAGAGAAUAGGUAGUUUCAGAAAGAAUCAUUUCAAUCAAAUUGAUAGUCAGAGGAAUAUUCGAAAAUCCUGAGGGGAAGAACGUAGAUUCAUUCCAUUCUCUCACACACUAUCGCUAUUCUCCUCUCCAUUCUCUCACUCACUAUCGCUAUUCUCCUAUAAGAAAGACACUGUUGCAGCAAUCGGUUGAAGCAUUAGUUCCCGGUUAGUGGGUGCUGGGGACAGACUUGACGUAACAACUCCAUGGGGGCCGCCAUGCCUUUAGAUCGAUACACUGUUUAGGAGGCCAGGCCGAUCACGAACGCUACUGGUGUGGGCUGCUAUCAGAGAUGAUUCAAGAAAGCCAACAAGAAUAGGGCCAAGCUAACCUUAGCAACUACUACCCCGCCUAGCCUAGGUAAGAUGCGGCAAGGUAACACUUCCCGGUGCUCUUUCCUCUUUAUUACUUCCUAUACACUAGGGUAGGGGAGAAGCGUGUUUUAAACAGCUAUUGGCCAAGCGACUACUAACGUUGAGAUAAAGAUAAGAAGCGGGGGGUUAAGGUGAAAUAAGCUAUAGAAGGAAAGCACUGACUUGACUCGGCAUAAGAAAGAUUAUGUGGCGCCAGGAAAAGUUGUGGAAUUCUUUGUCCAGUGUACUAGAGUUAUUACUGAGUCCUGUGAAUAGGCUUUGAUGCGCUAAGACUAAGGCUUACUCUUGUUGUUGCAAGUGGGAAAGUCAAAGAAGUACGGGCAUAAAUCGAAUCAGAGGCUUGAGCUAGCCUAAUAUGAGAAUGGAAAGUGGAUCUAUUGCAGAAGAAUCAUUCUUGUUACCCGCAUAGGAAAGUACUCAACUAGAUUCUUGUACCCCGCCUAGGUAUUAUAGAAAGAAAUAACCAAGGAAAAGAGGUAGGUUAGGAGUUUCGCCCAAGGUUGUCUUAGAGAAUCUCAAAGAGUGCGUGCGAGUGUAGUUCCGGCGGAGUAAUACGCUCGAACACAAGACAUAGGCUUUCUCUUUAUAUAGGAUGAGAGUACUUCACUACGGAUGGAAGGAACCUAUUUUGACCUGAUCCAUCCUCGGCUUAACCCUAUUAUUUCUCUAUUGGGGCACUAAGGAACAAAGAAAGUCGUUUGACUCAUUAUGUUAGGUAGUACCCUUCACUUCACUGCCUAUUCCUAACCUGGCCAGCUCGCUCACUAACGCAGUAAACAGGACUUUCACUUGUGCCAAGUUAACCAUGAAAUUCAUCUAUCGAGCGGUCAACUCUACCACUUAUUGCUCGAACUGCGGAUUCCGUCUAAUAACUCAUAGGCGCAUCCCUCACUCCACUACUUUGAGCUACAGCGGGACUAGACACACUAUAAACUAGGUGGGCGAAAGGGGAGCGAAAUUCUUCUUUCUAUGCGCUCUAUUCCGUCGCUUUUGAUUCCUUCUCCUUCUCUGUUUUUAGUUGCACUAGGGUUGGAUACCAAUAUCUAUCAGUUGGUUACCCAUAUAUAUCUAUGAGACCCCUCCCCUCUCUCUCUUGCUCUAGUUUUGUGUUCUACUAGAUGCGCUAGCAAGUUCUGUAUUCUGGCCCUAUUCUAAUACCCUAUUUCUUGUCUUAUACUUAUACUUACUAUUCUAUUACUUACUAUUACUAUUCUUAUUCUUAUACUAUCUUGUCUUAUUCUUAUUCUUAUACUAUCUUGUCUUAUGGCUCCUCAAUACUCCAUCGAAUAAACUUCCAGUUAUCCUCUUUCUUGCUCCGAUUACCUAUAAGAAUUCUAUAUCUAAUAUUCAACGAGAUCCAUUUCUCUUUCUGGGGCUUCUGAUCGAACUGUGGAACUGGCAAUUCUCCAAGUGACAAUAGGGGUGGAAGGAUUACUCGACGUGUUACCGACCCCGAACAAGACUUAGAGCGUAAGCACCAACACUCCCCACUUAUUGUUAUUGUCCCGCCUUCUAAUGACCAUAAUAGCCUAAUUGAUCUUUCUGUUCGAGUGUUAUCGAGUGAGCAGACUCCUAAAGAAGGAAGAGAGUUGAGUGCAAAAGAAGAGAGCCGAAUUGCUUUCAGAAUUGAGGAAGCAAAGAAAUUGGAAUUCCACGUACAAAAGCAUAGAGUUUGACAAUGAUAUGAGUUUGUUUUAAAGGACAGUUACCAAGUAGAGUAUCAAUUCUAUUACAUUAGCAAUUAGCAUAGUUAUAGGUCUUUAGACGCAAGACAGUUACAAAGUAUCAAUUAAGUGACAUUAGCUACGUUGAACAGAGACAUAUAGCUUAAUAGAAAUCGGAGUUAGCGAGUGAUAGUAUAGAAACGAAUAAAGAUGGUUAUGAUUCUGUUGUUUCUUAUAAUAAACAGUAGAACAAGCAGGGCGAGGAAGCAAUAAGUAAAGAAGUAAAGGAUCGGAUCGGGAGUUGGCGCUGAGAGAUGAGGUCUUGCAGUUCUAUUCCAUCAUAAGAGUCAGAGGUUUUAUACAAGAAACCAUUCUGUAUCUGUUCGAAAGGAAAGGUUCGAGUGCUGGUGUCAGUGGCGUAGGAGAGUGGCUUAGGACAGUAAUAAGCAGUUCCUGGUUUCGGUAGUGAUUGUGUCGUAGGUGCUAUAGCUCCGAGUUCUACUUGUUUGCGCUAACGGAAAGGGAGGGUAAAGGAGUUGUUGACAGUACGGUGUCAGUUCCAUUUCUUUAUGCUUGCUUCUGCGAGAGAUAAUAGUCAAAUUCCAAUUCUCAUCUUUUUCUACUCUCCUUGUUAUCUGAGAUCCAAUCUUAUAUGCCUCGCAAUAGAGUCAAAUUAUGAAGUGGAAAGUCAAGCUAUUAAAGAAAAGGUGGAAGUAACAAGUGAGUAAGCUGCUAUGUAUGAAAGUAGAGGUCGAGGAAGAAUAAUAAAGGGAUAUGGAAGCUAUGUAUUUAUAGAAUUCUAUACAACCACAACCCAACCACCUUGGGAAUCUGAAUCUUAUCUUUAUCACGGUCAUCUUGCCCCUAGAAAGGCUGUUCCUGUUCCACGGUAGCCUGCCUAUGAACAUUGACCCGUUACUAAUACAAAUAUAGCAGAAGAAUCCGCGGAAGUAGAUGAAAAGUCUUGAUCCGUUUUCAAGAGAAAACCAGUUAUAGUUCCAGGAUCAUCAGCUAUGGGCUAACGGGAAGAAGGAUCUGCAGUUGGGGAGAAGAAGAAAGAGAAUCUUCAACUGAAUAAAGAUCAUUGGUGAAACAAAAGUAAGGGUAUCAAGUAAGGGUAUCUCGGAACAGGCGCAAGAGAGAGAAAUGAUUGUUUUCCUUAAGACUCCACUUUUACUGAAGAUCACAACAGUUUUGACCUUAUUGACCUUGAUUGUAGUGCUCUUGGCUAGGCUCCUUAUUGUUUCGGGAGUUAUGCAACGGCGCGCCUGUAUAAAGUCUUCUGCUACUUAAACGUGUUGUUACU
rnacentral:lncRNA from 1 species